rnacentral:lncRNA from 1 species
UUUUUAUUUGCUAAAGUACUGAUGCAGAACAAAAGACGAAACCUCUGUGGUUUCUUACAUCCAACAACACUAAAUUAUGAUUAUGUGGAUACAGAAGCUUUUUUCAGCACUGCCCAGCCGCUAAAUAGCUGGCUAUUGCACUUUGCACAAGUACCAAUUCCUAACCAACUUUGCUUCCAAAACUAGAAAUUGAGUAAACCAAUUCACAUGAAGCAUAUCUUCCAACUUGUCUUCUUUCGCAUUGGCAUUGUUGAUAGUGCAUAAAUUAAGCAACCAAACAUGAACUUAAAUACAAACAACUAAAUAUGAGCUGAAAACUAAGACCUUACAAGUUUCAAAUGAACCAAAAUUUGCAUCUUCAACAAUUAAAGCAAGCAACUUUUGACAAGGCCGGGGUAUCAUCCACAUCCAAAAUUUAAAACAUGGGCAUCACUUUUUUAACACCACGAACAGUAAAUACAGAUUGAUCAUAGUAAAUUGAAGCUUGGAAUUACCAGAGAAGAGAGAGGUGCAGACCAGAACAGCCUAAUUGUUAGUGUGCAUAGUGGUCUCUGAAGAAGAAGAAGAAGACCCAAAUGUGUUGACUUUGACCAAACGCAGCCAUAACUGCUAACCCAUUUGAACAAACUGCACAUGUUGAAGAAGCCAACUAGUUAACAACUUUGGGUGCACAAUUUGAUAGAUGAGUGAGAAAAGCAAGAAGCUUUGGAUCAAUUUGAUAUGGAAUAAGGGAACCCCAAUUUGAGAGUUGGUAAUUACCUUGACUAAUCUCAUCCCCAACUUCCUUCAUCCUGUCGGGUCGAACCUAAAGGAUCAAACUGACCUCAGAUAUUCAACACCCCUCAUUUCAAUCUUGGACCCAGAAACCCAGAAACCCUGCCUCGUUUUAAGAAAGUAGUAACAAAUGAAAUUACUAAAAGGCCCUAAAACAGUGAGAGGAGAAGUUCAUUACGUCGGGCUCCAACGGUCGAAUUCUCUAAACUUAUCCCUUAAUUAAACUCUGUCUUGACUCCGUUGACAAUUUGGCUUCCCGGGCGACAGUUGUCAGAAACCGCGUGAAAGCAACGGUAAUAUUUCCGAGUCUAUCUGUCUAUAAAACACACUCAUAAUCUCCCACUUCACUCACUCACAAUUCUCAAUUGCAUCUUCUCUCUGCUUCAAUUCUCUCUGUUUCAGAUCUGUAAACCCAGAAUCCCCAAAUUCCCGAAACCCUAAUUUAAACCCAGAAGGAAGGAAAUUCAGGGAUGAUGGAUCGUUGCACUCGGGUGGUGGGUCUCAGAUUCCAUCCGUCCGAUCAAGAGUUGAUCGGACACUUUCUUUUCAUCAAGAACAACCCCAAUUCGGUGCCGGAGAUGAGAUCCUCGUUUUUGCGGGAGUUUGAUAUGUACGGUGAGGUAGAGCCGUGGACGAUUUGGGAAGCCAAUGGGGGACCGCUUCUCGAUGACCAGGAUCUCUUCUUCUUCACUCGCCUUAAGAAGCACAAGAACCGAAUCAAUCGAAGAAUUGGAUCCGGUACUUGGAGCCAAGGCGAGAACUACAAACCAGUUUAUGCCAAAAACAACCAAGAAACCCCAAUUGGGAAAAAGACCAAACUGAGGUAUGAGAACAAAGAGGUGCCGGAGCAAAGCGGUUGUUGGUUCAUGGAUGAGUACAGCGCUGUUGAUGAUGGUGAUUAUGUGAUUUGCCGACUCCGAGAGAACCCUAGCAAGAGACCAUCACCACCAUCAUCAAAGCCUAGUGAUAAAAAGAGGAAGUGUCAACAUGAUCCAGAGCCUAGCAAAAAGCCCAAGUCGACAACCAAUGAGGCUAGAAAGACCGUGUCUUUGAAUCAGAGGCCUAAUCCUGAGACGCAAUUCGACACUAUGGAAAUGUUCCAUCAUGAUCAGGAAUAUGAGACUCAACAAUAUUUGUUGUUAGAGGGUACUGGAUUGGAGGAAGUACAAAGGGAUGUAUUAGCCCCUGCCGUUUCAGAACAACAACACACAUGUUCAUCAUCAUUCGCGCUGCUCAAUACUACCAACGACGUGUUUGGGUCUGAAAAUGACAGUGGAAAUGCGCAGUUAGAGGAUACUGAUUGGCUUGGUGAUGCAUUGGAGGAUGUAGAAGGGGAUUCAUUAUUUCCUGCCCUCUCAGAACAACAAACAUCAUUCAUGUCACAGAUGCAGGACAUUCCUUCUCAAGAAAACAUCAUUGAGUCUCAUAUUCAGUCACCACAUUUGCCUCCCAUCGGAUCAGAAUCGCAACAACCAGCAGAUCAAACUGGGUUGGUUAUUAGCGAUCCACAAGUCAGUACCAAUGAAGAAUUCAGUUUUGCUUAUGAUAAUUUCAGUGUUCCAAUGGAUCCAGCCUACAAUAUUAACUCUGAUGAAUUCAGCAACUACAACUUUGGCGAUGAGUUCUUGUCGGGAGGGGAUGACAUUGGUACAGCAGAUAUACUACAAGGAUCAAUAUCAUUUUCAGAGCUUCUUGAAGAUCAGAAUCAUGAAGUAUAGCUGCCUAGCUAGAUAGAGCUCCUUAGUUAAAUUUGUUCGAUCACAGAAUAGGAUAUUUUUUGAUAUCACUGUAAAUGAUGACAAUAGUCGGUUGUUUGAUUAUGUACCUUUUAAUGUCAUAUACUUCUGAUGGCAAUUGUAACAGCUGCAGCAGCAUACUAAAUCAAUAAAGCUCAGAUCUGUUUUCUUAAUAUUUUGGUGUUACUAUAUAUAUUUUUGUAAGACAUUUCAUUUAAUUUUAAGCCUACUGUAUGCAUAAGAGACAACCUGAAUUUCAACUUUUGGCUUCAAGUCCAACAUCUCUCCCUACUGAUAUCAAGAUCAUUGCUAAUACACUACAAUAUUCUAUUGUAAAUUCAUACAUGCUCAGUCUAGCUUUUUUGUUAACAACCUGCACAGAUGGAUUCUAAAACACACCAUCACAAUUUCUAACUCAAAAUUCAACUUAUCUUCAGUACAAGGAAUAAAUGCAGUCAGAUCAAAGCUAGUUAAGGACUAGAAAAUCUAACAGAUCUUUCAGACAAAAAUUCAUUUGAGAACUAAGACAUAAUGCAAUCAGAUCAACGGUACUUAUUCACCAGACAAUCUAACAGGGGUAUGACAAGAACAUAUAUUCAAGAAGUUGUAUUUCAAGCAAAGCAUCAACUUGAUCAACCCAUUUGAUGUCUCUGUAAUGAGCGAAAUAGCGAAGACUAGUCUCAGGCACUUAGGCAUUCAAGAAACCUUUGAGCAAGAGUAUCAAUCACAUAGUUCGUUAACCUUUUCUGAGUAACCAGCCCUCCAUUGGAGAUAUUCAAAAAGUUGCAUACUUCCAUUUGGUCUUGCUUCAGUAAUUUCCCAGCUAGUUUCUUAAGUGACAUGUCUGUCUUUAUACUGUACUUGUGAUGAACAUCAGGGAAUUCAUUCCUCUUGAAAAUUAUUUUCUUCAUAACCUAAUCAUCAUGUCUAGCAUACUCUUAUCAGUGUACUUACCUUCAAGAUAAAAACGUACGUCGUCAUCAUCCUGCAAAUUGAUCUUGCUUGUUCCUAGGUUUUACACAGGUUGAAUCAUCUCCAACUAGCUAUAAUUUGGACAUAUAGACUGUAAAUUUAUCGACAGAAAUUGUAAUCAGAAAAAAAAAAUCAAAAUAUUUUACAAAAUUUGAAAUAUAUUGUUUUGAUGUUUAAACUUUAAACCAAUGCUGGCUGCAAGAUGGUAAGUUGGCCUAGGGCUCAAUCCCAAGUGAUCACUUUGGGAAAUGGACUAGCCAUCUCCAUCCUAAGGUUCUGCGACCAUGAGUUUCACCAUAUAAGGGUUAGAAUGAACCUAGGCGGAGGUUGUAGACUGUAGAGCAUACUCAGUCGCCUUUUCUAGGGCUGGCCUCCCUUGCCGGAACUAAAACACUCAUGCUCAUAAUUGCAAUGACCCUGCUAGUUUUGCAAUGCAGAAAGGCAUCUAUUACUCCAGUUUCCUAGUCUUGUUAUCAUAGUGCAAUCCAUAGUGUGAACUCUCUAAAUAACAGAGCAAGCUGACUAUAAAUGGUAUAUAUAUAUAUACAGCCCUUCUUGGCUGCGGACGUCCGCACCGAAGGUUUCGGUGCGGAUUUCCAUUUUUGCACCACUUUCCGAUCGAAUUUCAUCAUCUCCACCGUCUAGUAUCUAGAUAAUAUUGUGUAGAUCAUCUCUGCAAAAUUUUAGCCAAUUUGGUGAUCGUUAAGGCCCUCAAACUCGAGUUAUUCUGGUAUGAACACAACCGGAUAGAAUUUAGUCCGUUCAUUUGUUUUUCGAGUUUGAGGGCCUUAACGAUUAGCAAAUUAGCUAAAAUUUUGCAGAGAUGAUCUACACAAUAUUAUCUAGAUACUAGACGGUAGAGAUGAGAAAAUUCAAUCGAAAAGUGGUGCAAAAAUGGAAAUCCGCACCAAAACUUUGGUGCAGAAGUCCGCACUUGAGAAUUCCUGUAUAUAUAUAUAUAUAAACGAAAACGAUAGAAAGCGCACGUGCGCACAGUUCUUAAAGUUCGCACGGAGCUCCAUUCGCCACCGUCCGGCGCCAACGAUGGCGCGCCUCCCCCCCCAAAAGACUCCAGCAGCGUCCUCAACCACUUUUCCUCCCCGGUGAGUCCAUUCUUUUCCAGUUUUCCAGCGAGAUCACCCAAAACUUCAAAUAAAGUCGAUUUCGCCGGAAACUGGAAUUCGGUGGACUCACUACCACAAAAACAGCUUUAAACAACGCCUAUCAGACGACGUAUAACAAUAAACCGUCGUGUGAUUGAUUUUUAACUUUUUAGAUGUCAGUUUUCUAAAACAUCAGGUCACUCAAAUUGUGAGGUGCCCAACAUGUAAGAGUGAUACGACGCUUUGUUACAAAACUGUGGUAUGACUAUAUGUAUUUUCAGCGAAACCAUGUCCGUCAAUAUUUCCCUCCAACAUUCCUUAAAAUUCACACCUAAAUUUGUAGGGAAUGUCCAAAAUAAAAGUUUUGGAGAUCAGACCAUGUUUAUUGUUGUUUACAUUGUGUGAUUUCCUGUCAAAGUGAAUAUCAAUUGAUAGCGCUCAACUUUCCUCUUACAUUUGAACCCAAAGUUAAAUUCUCCCCCAAUACUACUAGAAAAAAAAAGAAAGCACAAAACCUAAAUCCUCGACAUCACACUCACAAAACCUCACAGCUCUCGACAGCUCUCGACCAAAAACACAAAACCUCACAAAACAUCUCGCCCACCCUCAUCUACCUCGACAUCUCUCCCAAAUUCACACACUCAACCCAAAACCUAGCAUCUCUCCUCUCUCAGCCUUCUCGGAGACGGCGACGAAGCUCUCGGCGAGCCCUAGCCUCUAUUUUGAUUUGUCUCUUUAGAGGUACGCCCUAGCUAGCUCUAACACCUCUCUCUCUCUCUCUCUCAUAAAUCGAUUUCAAUUUCGGCUCUAACCUCUCUCUCUCUCUCUUUCUCUCUCUCUCUCUCUCAUAAAUCGAUUUCGAUUUCGAUGAUUGAAGGUUUCAAUUUUGAUGCAGGUGACUACAAUAUGACUUGGAGCUUUGAUUUUCUGAAGAUAUUUCUCUCAAGGUAAUUGUUGGAAUCAGAAUUGCGGGGUUUUGAGUUAUGGGUAUUCGAUCUGUUGCUGGGUUUUGUGUUAUUGCUUUGACUGUGUUGCAUGUUGUUCUUUUCUGGAUUUUGGGUUACUGCUUUGGCGGUGUUGCUUUUAUUAAUGACUGUUUUGGAUUUGAACAAUGUUGAUGGUAGAUAUAUGUGUUGGGUAGCUUUGAGCUUUGUUUCAUUCAUAUCAAUUUCUGGUUUCAUUCCGGUUGGAAUUCCAUUGUGGGGGUAUCAUUUGAGUGGGUAAGUAUUAAAUAGGUUGAUGCAGGUCCGUUAUACUGUUCUAGUAUAUAUGUUCUCAUGUUCAAUGAGCUUUUGAUGGUUUUGUUAACCAAAUUUAAUUGUGUUGUUAGCAGUGAUGAUAUUGAGUGUAAAUUGGUGGUUUCUUUUAUUUUCUCUUACCCUAUGAUUCGUGACUGUAGAAAAGUAAGUUACCAUGUUGCUAGUUGAUGGAUAAAGGCUUUGGAAAGUAAUUGGUUUCUUGCCGCUUGCAGAUGUAAGAAAGUUAAGCUGGGCAUGUUGCUAGUUGAUGGAUAAAGGCUUUGGAAAGUAAUUGGUUUCUUGCAGCUUGCAGAUGUAAGAAAGUUAAGCUGGGCUCUUUCGUAAGAUAUGUUAUUUCUUUUAUUGGUUAGCUGUGAAAGUAGGAUUUGAGGAUCUGUGGUAUUGUCAAUUCAUUUUGUAUGUGUGUAUAGUCAUACCAAAGUUUAUUUGUUCAUGCAUUUGUAUAUGCAAGCAUGUCUAUUGAAUUGUUCAAAACUUGGGAGCUAUGCAACAAUCUCUGGAAUGCAGAUACAAUCAAGUUGUCCCAUAGAGAUUUUAUUUUCUCUAUGUGUAAGAGAGAUUUAGUUGAGUCAUGCAAACAUGAAAGUGUCACAUAAAAUGCUCGAGCUAUUGUACCUACUGUGCACCCAUUCAGCAGCUUUCUCCAAAGAUAAGUCACUCUCUUUGUUGUCUGUUAUUCUGAAAAUUCAAAGCAUGCUAAACACAGGUAUAAUAUUUCUCAGCUUGGAUUCUUAUAAGCAUGCUUACAAAAGUAUAUGAAAGGCCAUGCUUCAGUGUUGAUAAACAUAGUUGCUAGACAGUGCAUGCUUCUUUGAUGUAUAGUUUGCUGAAUAUAAUCGUACCACCAGCUUUGAUUUAGUACUACCCCUUUGAUGCUAAUAUGCAUAGCCACGAGUUUAGGCAAAAAUACAAAAGGGGAACCUUGCGUCAAACAUGGUUAGUCGUGUUCCCAGACAUGUUCCACUAGCAUUCCAUAUACACAACUCUACAAGCAUGAAUGCAUGAUCAUUGCCUCUUAAACAUAUAUGCUUGUUCAUGGUGGGAUAGUCACGGGGUGCAUCCCCUUUUGUUCAAAAGACGAGUAUAGGCUCUUGUGCAUACUUGUGGGUUGAUAUAUGUGAAACCACGUAUUCAGGUAUGUAAUAUUUCUCCAGUAAUUGAACUAGAAUGAAGUUGCUGUUAGAGACUUAGAGUAGCUCAUGUAACAGUAUGCUUACAAUUUGUAUUGAACUAUAUUGCCUUGUUCCAAGUAGCUUUCAUAUCCUAUUCUUGUUCUCAGUAGUCUGUAAUGUUAUACCCUAUCAUUGAAUCUGUGCCUAAAUAGCAUAGUUGAUCCAAUGCUUUUGUAUGUCUUAGGAACUUGUCCACUUCCCAGAUAUUGGAGUGUUGAGCAACUUUUGGAAUAAGUCGUAAGUAUCCAUAUCUUCAUCCCAUCACUUAUUCAUACAAUUUGUAUUGAACACAUUCUAUAGGUUUCCAGUUAUGUAUGUUAGUCUUUAGCUUUCUAGAAUUAGACAAUAGGCAUAUACAUCAUCCAUGUAAGCUAGUUGUGGGGAAUUCAGGAUUGAUAACUUGUCCAUGCCAUUUAAAUUUAUUUUUCUCAAAUAAUUUUCAUAUAAGCAGGUAAUAUUCUCUAUAAAUAGAUGUUUUGUGCCUUCAGUUCAGCAAGUGAUAUUGUUUUUAUACUUGCUGUUUAUUUGUUUGUUUUAGUUAUAUCCAAGUCCAUAUGAAUUGAGUAAUUCUUUUGAAGUUGGUGAAUGAAGCAAUUUUAAUUCAAAAUUUUUUGUAGUAUUGGACAUGAUGGUAGCUGAAUGUUAUAUAUUGAUCUAUACUUUCCUAUAUCAUUGUGAGUUCUAUACUAUUCUUAGUUCAUUGUUUUCAUGCUCCUACAUCAGUUGUCAAAUUGCAUAUAUAUGCAUUGUAAUUACUACACUCUUUAAAUACAUGUUUCAAAUUUGACAGGGUUUUGGGAUGAAAGUCAGUAAUUACAUAUUGGUGAAUUAAGGAGGCUACUAGCAUGCAGGUGCUCCUCAACAAGAUUAACUAGCUGAAGAGAAAACACCAGGACUAUCAGUAGUUGCGAGGCCGUUUUCAGUGACUAUCCAAAAAAGAUCGAAAAGAGUAUAGUUGCAAGAACACCGGAAGCCUUCACUCAUGAACUUAUAUUUAUGAGGAGACUAGUUAGAUAAAAUAGAUGAAGCUUUGAAUGGAAGGAACAAAUGCUCUCCGAUUUCAUGUAUAAACAUUUGAGAAAUGUAAUAGGUCAUCAACUUAUUGAAUUAAUUUUUUGUAUAGUGGAAUUGAAAUAAAUAUGCAGUGAAUUUGAAAUUAUUUUUUUCCAAAUACAAAACUGGAUUUUAGCAAAAAUAAUAUAUAUAUGUAUAAUUAAAAAGAAAUUAAGCUGAAAAUUUUCACUAAAAACGACUUCUGAGUCUAUAUCAGAUAACAGUUAUAAGAACAAGCGUGUUAUGAUCAGUGAUCACACAAUUGUUACUCUGUAAAACCGUGAUGUGAUUGUAUGUCACACGACAAAAAAUAUGUCGAUACGUUGUCGACAUACGUCGGCAUCUCAUGGCUGUCGAUAUAUGUCGACAGCAGUCAGACGACUUUUCUACAAUACAUCAGACGGCACGGAAAAAGACAACGGUAAUCUGAACAAUCAGAAGACGUUUUUGGCCGUGGUCUUAUGCUUUUUUUGUGGUAGUGACUCGCCGUGGAGGGAAAGUGAUCGGGGACGCUGCUGGAUUCCACUGGGGUGGAGGCAUGCUGUCGUCGGUGCCGGACGGUGGCAAACGGAGGGAUGUGCGCACUUUAAGCCAGUGCGGACGUGCGCUCCACAUCCGGCCUGUAUAUAUAUAUAUAUAGAAAUGUUCCAAAGCGGACGUCCGCACUCAGCUUAAAGUGCGGACAUCCUUCCGUUCACCANNNNNNNNNNNNNNNNNNNNNNNNNNNNNNNNNNNNNNNNNNNNNNNNNNNNNNNNNNNNNNNNNNNNNNNNNNNNNNNNNNNNNNNNNNNNNNNNNNNNNNNNNNNNNNNNNNNNNNNNNNNNNNNNNNNNNNNNNNNNNNNNNNNNNNNNNNNNNNNNNNNNNNNNNNNNNNNNNNNNNNNNNNNNNNNNNNNNNNNNNNNNNNNNNNNNNNNNNNNNNNNNNNNNNNNNUGUAUAUAUAUAUAUAUAUAUAUAUAUAUAUAUAUAUACACACGGAGCCGUUCCAAAGAGGACGUCCGCACAGCCCUUAAAGUGUGGACAUCCCUCCGUUCUCCACCAUACAGCUCCGACGACGGCGGGUCUCCACCCUGGCGGCCUCCAGCAGCGUCUCCGAUCACUUUUCCUCUCCGGCGAGUCCGCCAAAAUCCAGUUUUCCGACGAGAUCACCUAAAACUUCAAACAAAAUCGAUCUUGCCGGAAAACUGGAAUUCGACGGACUCGCCGGGGAGGGAAAGUGAUCGGGGAUGCUACUAGAGGCGGCUAGGGUGGAGGCGCGCCGUCAUUGGAGCCGUACGGUGGAAAACGUUCUGACGUCCGCACUUUAAGGGCGUGCGAACGUCUGCCUCUGAUCCCGAGGUUAUCUUCUUGUUAGUUUUUGAUAUGCCAUCUGCUACAGAGAGACUCGUACCAGGAAGUACCUUGGUUGAUUAUCACCAAAAACAUUAUUAUAUCUGAUUUCGUACAAUGAAAGGACGCCAAUUGAUUUUUGCAAGCCAUGGAUCUCACAUCUUUCUAACAGAAAGUGUUCCGAGUAACAAAAUCAUAAGAAUGAUAUUUUACAACAUGCAGCAAAUUAAAAUUUUGAGCACAUAUCAAAUGCUUGCGAAUUUGCCUCUACUAAUACAAAUUAAUGCGAUCGAUUUGUUGGCAUGAAAAGCAUCUCAUUGCCAGACUACUAUUAGAAUAAGUGUGCACUCUUGAACUAAUAUUUCUUUACACAGAUUGGUUCUCAUAAACGAAUCCAAGGCAUCUGUAGCGCACAAAAAAAAUGCCAGCAACGUAACAGAACUUUAGCUAAUGCCAGUAAUUUUUACCAUCGAUCUGCUACCAUUAGUGUCCCUCUGUAUCAUCAAAUAGGUACAUAGUAACCUGUAUUCAUUCUUAGACAUGUCAGUUAUGCGGUGUUACACCUUCAGAUUUGACAGUUUUGACCACUACGAGAAAGGAUGGCACACUAUAAAUGGUCCCAAUAACGGUAUCCGGCACAUAAAACCCUUGUUCAUCUGUAGUAAGGACUUCGACAAGUUUAUCAGAUAGCUCAAACACCUGUUUUAACCUCCCCUCUUUGUUAGGCUAAUGUGGUGAUUUCUGAAGCCAUGCUUGAAGCAAACACACAAGAGCAGAGGCUUUUGAAGUACCUUAGCCCAGUCCUUUCAGAGUAAGUGUUAAACUGAGCAUACUCAAACUAGACAGGUUUUCGAGUAUGACCUUGCCCAACAAAGUAUAGUCAUCUAUUUUUUCCACCUGGACUUUAGAACCACACCCAGACACUCAUUUACCUGAUUUAGAAAGAGAGAGGAAAAAUUAUAAGCUUGGUGACAUAAAUAUUAUGUUCUUCUACAAUGACAUUAGCUAUGGAAAAAGUUUCCAAGAGCACAAGCUUGGAAUAUUGAACAACUUGCUUGUUGAUAAGGAAGAUGCAUCAAAUGACACGAAGAAGAUACCUAGAGAAGGUAACAACAUAUUGCACGCCAAAGAGAUCAAUCAGUAAUCAAGCAGCUCGAAGAAAAGUCAUUUUACAGUGGCUCCACCAAACACUUCAAAAUACUUUCUUCCCUCCACAGGAGGACAUGAGAUGAUAAUAGAAAGCAUUUUCUUUCAAAGUCCCUCCCUACUUUUAGGCAUAAUUGAGAAUUGGAGAACAAUUUAGAAAAUUAUGGAGACCAUUACAUCAUACAUCAAGCAUGUAAACACACAGGUAUAAAUAAAACUAAUUGAACACACAAACUCUCACGCAUAUGAACAGAAACAAAACAAACACCAAAGAAUAGAGAAUAUAGUAUGCAUAGCAACAUGAGAGUUGGGAUAUCCCAGGACUCCAGGAACCUUAGUAAAGUCAGAAAUGACUGUUAUAGUAGAGUAUCAAAACCACAACUUAGAAAAGAGAAUGCUAACCUCAAUGCUUGCUCACUCAAUGUAUUCAUCAACAUAACACCUGGAAGUAUAAAACCUGUCUUGAUCAUCCUGCACGUAAGCCGAAAAGAAAAAAAAAUAGAAAACGACUUCAGAUACCCAAAUCAUGACUCUAACUACAUGCAACAAUGUAAGUCAACUGAGGAAGAGAUGUAAAUUCCUUAAACAAGGGGAUCAAUUACACAAUUCCAAACAGCGCAUAGAAGGUAACAACAAGAAUAGGGCAUGAAGAAGUUAAUGGAAUAUAUCAUGUAAUGAUGUAUCCAAUGCCACUAUCACUACACAUCCCAGUCACCCAGUUUAAAUGUCAAUUUUCUGUGUUCUUCUCUAAUACAAAUCUUCCUAACCCAUCAGACAUCAUCACAGCAUCCUCCCAGUUCCCUGCAUUAGCAAAUCUUUUCAUAACUAAACAUACAGUGUUAGGCGUUUUACAAUAAAAAAAAAAAAAAAAACAUAUAGUAUUGGUGUCUACUAGAUGAUCCUGAUGCAUUCUCUCUAACAAAUACAUAGUCUUAUAUCCAGCUGCCUCGUUUUACCUAAAAUGUCGAUGAUCACAUCAUAUGCAUAGCCAAAUCGUAAACCAACCCAUCUAGACACACCCAAUGCUAAAUUCCAACCCAUUCUUAAACUCGAACAAAAAAAAAAACUGAUCAACAAGGUCAUGUGUGAGAUGAAUGCUAUUAAAUACAUGACCAUCUUCAAUGGAUCAACAUACAUUCUGGAUAUGAUAAAUUGAUAAUGUCCUACACCCAGAGUAGCUUGUUAAGCUUAAAACCUAGAAUCCAGAUUAGCUUAAAGCCCAAAAGCCCUACACCCUUCAUACAUAUAAUUGCAGUACUGAUUGACUUGUAGAGAAAAGAGAACUCUUUUACAAAGUUCAAUAACAUCUGUCUAUUAAUGGCAUUAGGCAAAUCUGGCCUAACCUCUAUCUAACCUUGAUGGCAUUGAAUCUAAUGCCAUGAGUGGCUGUUUUCGAAAUCAGUUAACUGUAGACAAAUUCAAAACUACAGACAAAACCCAGGCAGUUAUCAGCUACGAAUCACAUAGGUCAAAAACUAACAUCACACUGAAGUACAUAAAAAAAAAUAAAAAAAAUAAAUCUUCUUCCUAAACUUGCACAGUUAACAAACAAUAGAAUAUAAAUUAAAACCAGACAAGCAUAUAAUAUUUGGUAAAACUUUGCUUUAUUAGCACAUUCACAUUUCCAGAAGGCAUCAAAAUCCUAGAAUGUGCAUAGUGAUUCAGACGAGGAUAUUAAUAAAAGUAAAGCCGACACAUUUAAUUUUGAGUGCGUAAGAGGAUUAAGGUAUGUAAUUUCCUGUAAUCUAAUUGUAUAAUCAUUACUGAAACUAUUAUUCACUGAACAUCUAAUACUAUGAGAUUAUUAGUCAACAGACGACAUGUGCAAGACUUACAGAUACUCCCAAAGGAUCAAAUGAGAGAUAACCAGAACGAAGUAAUAAAAGUUACCUUAUAUAGAGUACAUACACAGAAGGCAGAAGCAGAAAACUUUUUUCACAUUUCAAAGUGAAAUGGAGAUGCCAUUAGUAGAACAGUUCACUUUGAAGUCCUCUUAUCUGGCUUCAAUAAACGUCUUUACUUCAACUCACUGGGAUUGCUAUUCCUUUCUGCUCAACUGUAGAUGACGACUACUAAAUGAAAUUAUGUAGUCCUUAGAAUAUUAAUAAAAUUGUAUGUUCAUUAGAUCGGUAAGUUUCAACAAAAGAGAACAACGCACCAAGAAUUAAAAUUACAAACUGCAAGGAAUUCAUGAACCAAAAGAGUUCCAGUUUCAAGUUUCUUUUGGUUCCCUUAAUCGAUCAGUCAUGGUUUUACAUAGCAACACAAAGUAACUUGAGCAAAUUGAUAUCGUUUUGUUAUGCCCAACUCGUCAAAAGCAGAUCAUAUAGUGUGGUUAAAAAGGAAAAAUGUGUAUGCAGAACCACAUUAGAGGGUAUAGAGACUACAGGGGCACCAAAUACUUCAAGAGUUCAAGGUCAUCAUGUCAUAAUGAUAUAAAACAGCACCAAGUCCCCUAUUUAAAGUCAAUCCUAAUAAUCACCAAAGCUCAUUAGGUACCUUAUAUUUGAAACAUCCGAAUCCAAAACUGCUGGAAUACAUGGAUGAAGCAAUGCAUCAGCCCUUUAACUUAAGAAGAACCAUGCUCAUGGCCCUUCUUUUUACAGGUGUCGAUCUUCCCUUUAAAACCUCCAUCAUAGCCUUUGCAUUUGGAACAAACCCCAUACCAAUCAUCACCUCCACCAACUCUUUUCCCUCCUCCUCAGCUGCCUUGUCCUCCUGCUUUGCAAAGGCCUCUAUCACCGCAGUGUAGGUAGAAGCAUUGGGCCGCUUCCCUUUAUCCAUCAUCUGAAACAAGCACUUCUUGGCAUCUCCAUAGAAGUUGGGGUCCGUAGUGAGUCCCUUGAUUAAAAGAGUGUAAGUGUAGGAGUUUGGGGCGACCCCAGCAGCUAACAUGUCCUUGUAAGCCUCAAGACACCCUUGAUCUUCCCAGCCUUGAGGUAAGCCUCAAUAACGGUGGUACGGAUUAGGACCAUAGGAUGUGUGCCCGUCAACCCCGUCUGAAUGACGGUCGUAGCAAACUCCCUGGCCUCGUCUACAUAGCCAUCUUUUACCAGAGCAUUGUGCAUCUUGAUUGACUCUUUCUUGAAGCUACGUCCACUGGUGUACCACUUGCGGAAGACCUUUUGCAUAUCCUUGUCAAUUGUCUUGUUGACAAGAUCAUUGUACAACUUUAUUGCCUUCAACACCUCUGUGUAGUGGCCUUGGCCUUGGCCAAAAUAGAAACUAGGGACCUCAGGGCUAAACCCCUUUGCUUGUAUCUGCCCAAGGAACUCCCUGGCUUCCUCCUCUGGCUCCCGACAGGCAAUGGCAUUCAAGAUAGAAAAGUAGGACACAGAAUGGGGCUUUAACCCCUUAUCCAACAUUUCCAUAAAAUACUUCUUGGUAAGGCCAACAAAACUGGGAUCCGAAGAGUCUUUUGCAAGGGCAAUGAUGAGUAAGUGUGGGAGGAAGGGGAGACACCAGAGGCUAACAUGUGCUGGUAGACCUUGAGAGCAGCCUUCCGUUAAAGGCAUAUGCUCCGAUGACAAAGGUGAAGACAGCCACAUCAGGCAGCACGGCCUGCAGAUCAGCAAGGCCAGCAUUUGCAUGUUCGUUAAGGUCAUCAUAGUUUCGAAUCGAUGCGAAAAUGUCCUCACAGUAUUUGGUAGCCUCAUCAAAAACCUCCAUCACGUGUUUCUUGAGGUCAUCAGCACAAGAAUUGGCCAUUGAUUUGAUAGUUGGCUGGAGAUUAAUAGUUGAAAAAUGAGAAAAGCAAAUAGAGACCCAAAUCAGCCCAAUUAGUAAAGUUGAGGUUUUUACUACUUAUAAACAAACAAUCAACCAGCCAUCGAGGAUCAAAACUAUACUUGAAACCCAGAGCAGAAAUGAAAUUGCGAUUUGUAUUCAAUCACUACAAACUCAUUAAACCCUAGUAGUUGCUAGUUGUAUAAGAGAGAAUAAGGUCAAUAAAAUAAAACCUGGCUUAGGGUUUCGACGAUGAGACCACAGAUGAUAGAGAAAAGCUCACUAAACUUCCUGUGGCGAUUUCCGGCAGUUGCUCCUCUUUAGCAACUUUGGGGGAGGGAAGAGUAGAACAAUACUCUUGAGUAAGAGAAAUGGAGGACACUUCUUUUUAGACAAAUUUCCGAUGACUAAAAUAUCCCCGACGAUCACGUAAGUCGGUGGUUUGAAAAAAUGAAAUUUUGAUAGAUAUAUUGAGAAAAUAUUGAAUAUCGAUGGAAUUUUUAUUCAAAUUUAUAUAAAAAUUAUAUAUUCGAUCAAAAAUAAACCAAAUAUAAAGGCUAGUGUUAUUAACACUUCAUUUUGUAUCAUUAACACACCCCGUCUAUUUUCUUAUCCACACAUUUUAAUUUUAUUUAUAAACUUACCACUUAAAUUUGUUUUAUAAUUAGUUCUCAUUAUAGAUGGGUGUGUUAAUAACACAAAAAUAUGUGUUAAUAACACUAAUCAAUAUAAAAUAUCAGAAAUAUAUGAAAAUUAAUAUCGGUGUUUGUUAAAAACGGAAAUUUCAAGAAAAUAUCAAGGAUAUUGUGGAUAUUUUAGUCCUUGCAAAUUUUAAAUUUUGCGGAAAGGAAAGUAGUUCUUUCAUCUCUCCCAUGGGAAGGGAAAGUGAACGGAAUGAAAUUUCAAAAAAAGUUUUCAUUCCGAUGUUUAGUAACGUAAGGAAAAUCAUUAGGAAAGUUCUUAAAAAAUAUAAUAAAAUAUUAUAAUAUAAGUAAUAAAUAUAGGAAAAAAAGAAACGAAACUAGUUCCAUUAGAUUUUGGAAGAAGCCACUUUCCCCCAUAUUUUCCCUUCAAUCAGGAAAGUCUUUCCUUUCCUUUGGCUUUCCCACAUGUAAUGUCACAUCCCGACCCUUAAAUUUUUACCUUAUUUACUAGUUUGGUAUUAAUAAGAAUUUUACCGUCUCCGUCAAUGAGUUAUGGUUUACUUGGUCCUUAGAGGGGUUUUGGGGGACGUUUAUUUCGGAGGAAUUAUUCGUAGGAGAAAAGUGUGACGACGGUAAAAAUGGUAAAUUUUAGCUAGUAAAAGGUAAUUUUUAGGAUUAAUUACUGGUCACUCCAUUAACUUUCAUGCGCUCGACAGUUUAUUCCAUUAACUUUCAAUUUCAAUCGAUUACUCCAUUAACUAUCCAAUGUCACACAAUUAGGUCCAUCCGUUAAGUGGCCGUCCAAAUCAGUGGUUAAGUUGCUGAUUGGACAUAUUUUUCAACUGAAAAUUCCAUUUAACACCCCACCUCUCUCUCUCUCNNNNNNNNNNNNNNNNNNNNACUACUACUACCUACCUACCUCCUCCUCUCUCUCUCUCUCUCUCUCUCUCUCUCUCUCUCUCUCUCUCUCUCUCACACAUUUAAAACCCAUCAGCCAACCAUGGCUUCCCACUUUUCUCUCUCCGCCAUUUCUCUCAUCACCCUCCUCUUCCUCGCCGAACGCCGCCUCAUCCAUCACCAUCGGCGUCACCUAUUCCGCCUCCACCGUCGCCACUUGCCCCACCCCUUCGCUACAGGAGCGUGUGGCCUCGACCAUUACUUCUCUCAGCCUCGCCGCCGUCCGCCUUGACGUCUCUGACCCCAACCUCGUCCGCGCCUUCCUCUACUCCAACACCACCCUCCUCAUCACCAUCCCCAACGCGCUGGUGUCCCAUCUCUGGCCGCCAACCGCACCAACACCCUCUGUUGGCUCACCGUUCAACACUUCCAAUUCCCAAAUCUGAAAUUUUAGGGAUUGAAAUCCCCAAUUCCCAAAUUUGUUUCCAAUCAAACAAAUGGCUUCAAUUUCAUAUAGAGGAAGGGGAGGCGAGUGAGAAGAGGUUGUUGACUGGGGAUUCGAAGUGGUUGAGAUUUCAAGUCUAGCACGGUUUGAAGCGGAAAACGGAAGGGCUUCAUGGAUGGUGUUGUUUUGGAUUUGGUUGGCGGCGAAGGGAGAAGAUUGUUGUGAGGGUUUGAGUUUUGGGCUUCGAGAGAGAGAUGCGAGGUACGUGGGUUUGAGAUUUUGGCGUUGGGAGAGAGAUGUCGAGGAGCUGCGGGGUGAACUACUGGUGGUGUGGUUGGUUGCUGGUGGUCUGGUUGCGGUGUGUUUGAUUACGGUGUUGAUGUGGUUGGUUGGUUGGUUGCUGGUAUUGUUGUUGCGGUGUUGUUGAAAGUCCAACUGGUGAUGUGGUGGCGUUGUGGUUGCAGAGGAGGUGGAGGAGGAGAGAGAAGAGAUUGAAGAGAUUAAAGAGGGAGGGAGGGAGGGUGUUAAAUGGAAUUUCUAGUUGAAAAAUAUGUCCAGUCAGCAACUUAACCACUGAUUUGGACGGCCACUUAACGGAUUGACCUAAUUGUGUGACAUUGGAUAGUUAAUGGAGUAAUCGAUUGAAAUUGAAAGUUAAUGGAGUAAACUGUCGAGCGCAUGAAAGUUAAUAGAGUAACCAGUAAUUAAUCCUAAUUUUUAUUAGGGUAUUAUUUCGUGGUGUUAGUUCUGGAGUUGGGUUUAUUGUUUAGUGUGGGUAUUAAGUGUUGGACCGGUUUGGGGAGGCCCAAACCAUUUCUCUUUUCUCUUUUCUCUUUUCUCUUUUCUCUUCCUUCUCUUCUUUCCCCGACUCUCCCUCUUCCUCUCGCACUGCCGGAAACCCCCGAGCUCCCAUCGCCACCGUCCGGCCAAGAGGAGACGCCGCACCUGUUCAGCUCAGUCUGUCUCCCUCUCCGCCAUCUUCCUGGGUUGGUGAGCGGCGCUGCAACGCCACCGAGCGGAGGAAGUUCUCCUUAGAAGCCCGGUGGUCUUCUCGCCGGAACUCUCUCCUCCGACUGCUAUAGCCGGCGAUUCUUGGGUCGUUUGGAAGCUCUUCUCCCGUGCAUCAAUCUCUCCAAAGGCUUCCUUCCCCUUGGUUUAGGUAAGGAGAUUUUGGUGUUGGAAAUUCUAUGACUCAUUUGAUGUUUUUUUUCGAUUACCCUAUCUAGGCUUGGAAUUUGUGUUUGUGCUAGUUAGAAAAGUUGUAGAGGGGGUUGAGAGGAAGAUGCUGUUAAAUUUUGGUAGGCAUUGGGGUCCCCGGAGUCGGCCGCCGUUGCCGGCGGAGCAGACGGCGGCGGCGCCGCUGUUAGAGGGAUUUUCAUGGUUUUAAAUGUAUAAUAUUAAGGGGAGUUUAAUGAUGUGAAGUGUGGAUUUUUGGAGGAGUUUUGGAUAGGUUUGAGAUUUUUAAAAGAUUGGUGAAUUUGGCGGUUAAUAGGGUAGAAUCCGUACGUUGGAUUUUCUUUAUUAUUGUUUUAGAAUGUUGAAAUAAAAGAAAUAAGGUUGUGGUUCGAAUUUGGCGUGAAUCCAAUAAGCUUAACCCUAGAAAGGGUAAUGGGUUAGGCGGAAGAGUUUUGGGUUAUAUAUUUAAGUAUUAUUUAUUUCUGAAAUUGAAGUUUGGUCCUAAGCAUGGUUAUUGUGCCAGGAUUCGAGGAGACCUCACUUGAGUGGCGAAUUAGACUUCAUCGGGCUUAUCUUAUGCCUAAAGUUGUGAGUGGACGUUCGUUUUAAAUUAUAAGCAUACGGUGAUUUCAUAUUAAAUGAAUGAUUUUAUUGAAUAUCAAUUUGUGGAAUUGUUUAUUUUCGCGAAGUUAUUUUUGGAAGUAAAUGCUCUUAUUUUAUUUGUUAACUUCGCUAUUUGGGAAGUUACCGAAAAUGAGAUUUUCUGUGGAGUCAUAUAUUUAUUGCUUCUGUUAUAAUUGACAAUUUUCAUUAUUUUUUAAGAGUUACCGAAAAUGAUAUUUUCGGUGGAUAUGUAUAUAGAUGAUUAUGAGGAUAGUAUGUAUAUAAAUAAAUGCUAGCUAGCUAUACGUGCAUUUCUGCCAUAAUGAGGUAAAAUUUCAUUAUGGUGUGACGUGAGCAUUAGACGCAAUCGUCGUAGCCCUAUAUAAAUUUAGUAAUUUAUAUAGGGAAUAUGCACGUAUAUAUACACUCGUGCUUUUCCACCAUAAUGAGGUAAAAUUCCAUUAUGGUGUGAUGUGAGCGUUAAACGCAAACGUAGUAGCUUUGUAUGAAUUUCUAUUUUCUUAUUCCUUCAUAGAAUUCGUACAAGGAGUAUGACGAGUCUAAAUACAUACAUACAUAUAUAUAUAUAGUUUAGCCUGAGAGGCUGUAUUUUUUUUAAAGGUUUGGAGACUAGCCGGAGCUAGUCAUGUAAUUACCAAUUGAUGAGUGGAGAGCUUUUGAGCUGUCGCAUACAACAUAUUUUCUAUGGAAAUUUAAAUUGGGAAAGCAUAAAUAUUUUUCAUUAAAUUCAUUUUUGUCCACUCACUCUAACGUUUUUCAAUUGUUUCUCCCCUGGGCCUUUCGUUUUAAAAAUGCCCAGUAUGCAGGUUUGCAUUGUUGAGAUCGGGCGUCUAUGGAGAAGAGGCAUAGUCAAUAGUAUAGCUUCCGCUCAUUUUUAUAUUUCUAGUUCUUUUCCUCUCAAAUAGAGUUGCUCUGAACUGUGGUGGUUGGUUGUGAGAUUUUCUUUUUAAAGUUAGUAAAUAAUUUGGGAGAUGUUGUGAUUUGGGGGAGCACAAAGGCUCCAAGAGUUUAAGGUUGGAUUUGGAUUUUUAGAAGUGUUUGCAGGUAUUUUUUUAGAAGGGUUGUCCAUUUUCAAGGGAGGUUAUGCCGAAUUUUUAGUAAAUUUUCGUUGGAGGUGGUUCCCGCAGGAUUUACUUCGGGUUUUAGGGUGAAAUUCGGGAUGGAUCUUGACACGUAAGAAAUGAACAACUUUCCUAUUAUACUACCUACUUUCCGCGAAACAAACAAGGCCUAAAAGAGUGUGCGGAAAUGUGUGUAGGACUUAGAGCAAAUGCACCCAUUUUUGGUGGGUUGGACCAAUCCUCAACCAGGGCUAAUGUACUAUUCAUCCAGAUCAGUUAGUGGUCAUUAGUUCGAUGAUACAACAACAAGACCAAUCUGAGGACCAAUUACUAUUCACCUUUUAUAAAAAUAUUUUUUUAUUGAUAAACAAUUAUUGUCUUUUACUUUAUUAUUGAAUUCAAUAAUUAUUUAUUUAUACACAAGAUGCUCAAGUAAUAUAUAUAAAGAAAUUAAAUUAAAAAAUACCAAUAAUAUAUCAAAGACCAAUGUGGGAAAGACAUGUAUUCAUAUCAUAUCGUUAUCUUUCAUAAAUAUCUAAAAAUUUCAGAUAAGGCUAUACCAAUGAACGGACGAUAUAUAAUUCAAGAGUAAUACAAUCUAUUGUGGGGAUUGUGAAUCCUCAAAAAGAGGCCUAUAGCAAUCUGCAUUAGAGUUAGAACAAGUUCACCCAUUGGGUUAGAAUGAACACAGUGACUGGGCAGCAGUUUUUACCCGUUUGAAAUGUGAGAUUGCUGCUAUGUGGCAAUGAUUGUUUAUUAAAUUAAAAAAAAACAUUUAGUGUGAACAAUUGUUUUAAAAAAAAUGUUUCGUGACAUAUUGAAAUAAUUUUGAAAAGACUUAUAAUUUUAUAAAUAAUUUUAUUAAGACUUAUACAAGUUUAUGAUUUUAUGUCGUAACAAAAUGGUAUUUAUAAAUAUUUAAGUAGCCGUUUGAUUACACUGAAUCCUAGUGCUAAAAUACUGCUCUAAUUGUCUUAAGUAGUUCAUAGCCACACAAUUAAUAUUUUGAAAACAAACCAACGGCCAAGAUUAAGUGAAUAUUGAAUUAAAAUAUAUGUCAGUCACUCAUGUGCAUGAGACGGGUGUUGGUGGGCUCCAUUAGUUGUGCUUCACAACAGAAAACUGACGUGCACACGUCAAUGCUGCACUCCUAUUCGUUCGUGUAGAAGAUGUGUCUCUCCUUCGUGUCUGGGGACCACCUCAGUUUGGCUGACGCAAGCAGUCACAUGAGCUCAGGCUGAGGUGGACUAAUCCCGCUUGGGCUGGAUUUCUCCUCCAACCUAGGUUAGAUUGCUCCCCAACAAUCUGACAUGGGUUGAUUUAGGGAGAUAACCUAUUUGUAGGUGGAAGAUUGGGUUUUUUUUCUUGAGUUGGAUGGUAUAGGUGGCAAGUAACUCAAGUUGAAUUUUUUUGAAUGGGUGGACUUGCUCUUAGAAUCGGUUUUUCUCCUAAUGUCCUCAUUCUUUUGAAUCAAUCCUUUGACCCCGACAAAAUAUCAUUAUUUGGCAUGCCCAUUAUCCUUGCAUCCUCUUUUGCUUUUGCCUAUUCAAAUGCCAUCAUUCUUUCAUAUUCGGCACGGCGGUUCUCUUCUUUUUUCCUAAGAAUCUCAUUGGAAAUUUUGUUGCUCUCGAUGAUGGUGAGUAAGGCUUGAACCAUGGAUUCACCCAAACCUCUUUAUUUUUUCCUUUCCUUCUUACUUCUUUGGCGGCCGUUUGUCUCAUUGGCCUUCCAACGGAGCUAGGAGGCGUCUCCAAUACAACCUCUUCAUCUAAAUUAAUUAGUGAUUCGGUUUGAGAACCACUAGCCAUGGAAUAAACAAACGGGUAGGUGCAUUUCUAAAACUAGGGUGGUCCUUCACCGCCUCCCAACAUUCAUGAUGGUUGAAUUGCUUCUUAGUCACCCUUAUAAACUCUAAAUUAAUUUAACGCUCCUACAAAAAAAACACUCAAAUAUUAGAAAAAUUGUAAACUAUAUGAAUUAGUUGUCACUUAAUUUAAGUGAAUGGUCUAAAAAAUGCCUCAUCUAAUUGAUUGGUGUCGCUUGGUCUAUGAUUGCCGACUUGAAUUUUUGCAUUGUGACACUCUUUGAGAAUCUUCUUCAAGGGCUUGAAAUGAGCUUGAAGAGCUCCCGAUAGUCGAACCGGGGUUGAUCCCGUCCAAUUUUCAAUAUAAUGUUCACGAACCUUGAGCCACAUCAAUUAGAAGGGUUUGGUGAUUGCCCGUGACGGGGCAUAUGGUAACUGCUGCCCAUGAUUCGCACAAUUGAACUUUCUCCUCUUUGGUCCAAGUAGUACCCGACUCUCCCAUUUGUUGAUUAGAGAAUGAAAAAGAGGAACAAAUAAAUUGAAGAAGAAAGAGAUGGAUAGAAGAAGAAUAUUAUGGUAAAGAAGAACAAAUAAAUUGGAGAAGAAAGAGAUGUAUGUGUGUAAAACGAAGAAGAGUAAUAUGGUAUUUAUAUGAAAAUUUUGUUGUUGUUGUUUUUUUUUUUUUUUUUUUCAAUUUGUUCAGAAUAUUUCCGUUGGUUACCUAUUUUCUAAUUAAAAAAUUAUGUUACCGUUGCUUUUAAAUAUGGUCUGUUAGAUCAAGAUUUAACAAUCCAUAUUAAAAGCCUGUUGUUUUGGUAGUUUUAUUUUUUGCUCGUUGGAGACAAAAGCACAUGGCUCUGCAGCAAGUAGCAUCAGCGCAUGUGGAUCCCGCCAUUUCUUUUAACCCAGACUAAUUCGUGGACUGAAAAUUGGUCCAUCUCUUACCCUGGGUCAGCUAGUCCCAUGUAGGGCUCAUGAGUAACCCAUAUUUAUUUUGCACCGGUGUAUGUCUAUAUUGAUCCAACACAUCAUCUCUCUCACCUAAUUAAUAACCCGAACGCUGCAUCUGCUCUUAUGAUUACUUCUUAUUCCACAUUCAUGUAGAAAAUUCUGUUAUAUAGCGCAAUAUAGCAUACCGAGCAGUAAAGUUAAAAUAAAUAACUUUGUGAGCUUCUCAAUAGGAUAAGGAUCAUUUCCUUGGCUGGUAGUUGGACUUGGUUACCUUGGCUUUUUUUCUCAACCGUAGAUUACAAAUCGGAAGGUUAAUAACACUCAACGUCAUUAAAAUCUUGGGAAAAUCAAUAAUGAAUGCAAAACUUUCACAUUACACUACGAUCCACUAUUAACCACAUUAAUGCCAUCCACAUCCCCUUUUAUUAUUAUUUUUUUCUUCUUCAUCUUUUUAUUCUGCAAAAUCGUCCUCAGUCCUUCACCACUUCAUUUCUACAAAACUUCCUUAAACACUCUUCUCAUUUCAUGAAACUCGAAACAACUUUGAUGUAGCAUUGCAGCAUGUAAAAGAAAAAUUGAAACAUAACUUAAAAUUAUUAAAAUAGAAAAAUUGAAGUUCUCAGAAAUAUAACGAUCGUGCAAGGGGAAUUGUCAAGUGAAAGGGCUCUGAUUUGUGGUUUUUAUUGCAGGGAUGUGUUGAUUUGGACAAAGCCCUCGUGUAUAUAUAUAUAAUGAUUCUGAUCUUUGUCCUCUCUUAAGUGGGGAGAGAUUGAUUUGAUAAAGAUAAGAUUUCGAAUCAUAUUUUCAUUAAGAGAUUAAUCUAUCAUCAUCAAGUUUGAUCUUUCCAUAACAAAUUAAUUCCAUAAUCUAAAAAUUGUUUGUAGCUACGAGAGACGAAUUGAAAAAGACGAGGAUGGAGGAAAAGAAUGAACAGCGUUAAAAGUAGAUGAGUUGGAAUGUUGAGAGUUUUGCAUUUAAUAAAGAUUUUAAUUACGUGGAGUGUUAUUAGCCUUUAGGUGUAUAAUCGACGGUUAAGAACAAAAGCUAAAGAUAACAACUAGCCAAGGAGAGGAUCUUUAUCCUUCUUAAUACCGGAAAGACCCAAGAGCAGGUGAAGAAUUCAAGACCAGUUAGAAACAAAGGUUGAAAACUCAUUGACAUAUAUAGGGUGUGUGAGUUAUUUAAUUAAAAAGUUUUUAUUUUUUUUAUUUUUUUUAUUUUUUUUUAAGGAAACAAAGGUUGAAAAAUAUUUGGCUCCUUGCUCGAUCAUGUCUUCUAGCUCAUUGUAAAUUGUGUUUUGUAUUGUAAUGCAUGGCAAAUGCAUGUUCAUCAAAGUUAAACUUGAGAUGAUAUAUAUGGUGUUUUCAAUGUUAAACUUGAGAUGAUAUGGUGGAGAAUGUAGAUUGGGACGGAUAGAUAAGAUAUGUUCAUCAGAGUUCAUAAGUGAAAUGUACCAGUUCCUAAGGAUUUUGCACUUUAACAACUUCGGUUUUAAGAACUAAGGUUUGAAAUCAUGGCAUGUUUGUUACUUACAUGUUCCAAUAGCUUAUCAAGACCUGAUACAACCUUGGAUUCAAUGAAGUCAAUUUUUUGCCUAAUAUCAACUUUCUUUAUGAUCAACAAGCCAACUUCACCAUAUGUUUGUCUUACGAUUUAUAUCUACGGCCGCAAUCUAUUCAGAACCAUAAAUAGUGUCAGAUCGAUGUAAGGUCACCAUUGACUACUUCUGAUAGUGUCCUUUUUUAGACUUGCAUGACAAUGAAGUAGAUUGAAAAUCAUAAUAACCUGACCUUGCCAUCCUCAAGAAUUGUAAGUGCGGUGAGGAGAACAUAAUAUCAUGUGAAAACUCCAAUUUCAAUUGUCUUCUUUGCAUAGCUGCAGCAUCAUGGCUAGUAACUUUGGUUCAUUCUAUGUAAUGGCAUAUCCAUCCUUGAAAAUUAAUAACAAUGCUAAUAAUCCAUUCCGACACAAUAUGAUAAGAAAACAAUCUAUUAGUCUUCACACACCAACAUCAAAGUGGUAUGCCAAGUGAAUGAUUUAUCUCAAUGAAACUUAAGAUGCAAGCUAGCUUUGAAAAAGUGUCAUCAAAAUGAAAUGCACUAAACUAAGAAUGUUGAUUACCGAAGUUGGCUGGCAGUGACAUCCCUCAUCUCCUUGAGAGGUGUUGAUUUAUUUGGAUACAUACUAGUACUGAAGAUUUAUGUACUGUCACAUUGGUAAAGAUCAAUCAUUACAAUUUCAACCAUUUGACUCCACUCCUCAAAACCCUUCAGAACUUUAUAGUCUGCAAAGAGCUAGGAACAUGAAACCCAACCGAUUGUUUACAACCGAUAAUGAAGAAAAAACUAGAUGAAUUAUACAUAAAUCCACUUCCACACAAAGACAGACAAAAUUACAAGUCAUAUUCAAGGUCUAGUCUUUGCAUUAACAACAUAGCAUAUCACAAAAAUCUGAAGGUUUUAGAAUAAAAAUACAACCUUAAGUACUUAAUGAAGAUUUUAAAAGCUGAAAAUCUCGUCAAAUUGUAUUAAAUAGGUACACAUUGUCUCUACUCAUUCAAUAACACCAUCUAAAAGUUGCAAACUAAAUCAAUGAUGGUCUUUGAUUUGUUAGAAGAACGACAGGAUGUAUCAUAGAUCAACACUUUAGUAAGUGUUGAAAACAACUUCUGAGGAGAAGAUAGGUGCUCAGGAUCCAUCUCUUUUGUCUCUUUAGGCACAUGGAAAACUCGUCUUGCAUUCUCUAGCUUGUCAUGGUUAAGAAACACAAUACGAUGGACUUGAAAAUCAUUUGUGGAUCGCAAACAAUAGACACUUGUCACUUUUUAGUUCCUCCUGAUUGAAUUUAAAAAGCAAAAUUGUGAACUUCACAUAAUUUAAAGUAAAGAGAUAUAUUCAACAAACACAAUAACAAACCAACCAAGCUUUAUCUGUGAUUCAGUUAGAGUGUUAUUUGGCACAAAUAGAAUCAUAACGACUUCUUCAUCAGCCUCCACACAAUGAGAGUAUAAACUUAGGGCAUCGCCUGAGAAAAUUGGUGUAUAAACCCCCUCCUCUAGGCAACCAGCUAAAACAAACAUAAAACCAAACAAUUAGAAUCAAUGAUGGAAUAUAUGUGAUCAAAGGAAUGAAAGAGGAAAAAAAAAAAAAAACUUAGGGAGCUUACCCUGUGCUCCUCCUCCUAUAUUAGGACCGAUCAUAGUUGUGAGCUCUUAAAAGAGCUUGCAGACACCGAUUAGCCCCGUCUUGUUUAUCCAUCAAUAGAAUAUAUACAUUUAUGCAUAAUUUUAACCACUCCCUAAUGUAACGUAAUUGCUGUCAUCUCCAACUCUGAUUUCGGUAAAGUAGUGAGAAUUGUUAUUAAUAACUGUGAAUGCAUACAUUUGACCAAUCUGCACAGUAAAAGAACACGCACGCUUUGUUGUUGUUUUAGACUCAAAUUAUACCAAAGCAGCCACAAACCCGACUUAAUAAUAAGCCCAUAAAAACAAAAUAUCAUCUUACCCCUCUAGAUGGCCAUCUAACAAGGAUGUCGUCGUAGUCAUCACGCUUCAAUUUAUCUUUUGCACGUCUAUGGCAAUGCUCUUCGAUCAUUUGCUUCACAAAUUCGAUCGUAGUUGACUUUUGAAUUAUUCGCUCUUCUCUGGCGACCUACACAAAAAAUAUAUAAGGUCAAAUAUGUUUACAGUUCCGCAUCAGGGAAUAAUUAUAUUUGUGAAACUCUUACCACUCUUUUGACAUAGAGAUACAUGUUAUCCCAAGGAGUAACAACGCCGGUUGUCGUACAGUAAAUGUUUGAGAUGCUUGAUAUCUCAAAAAGUUUUUCGUCGGUAUCAGAUACUGAGGAAAACAAAUAAAAAGAAAUAAGAAUUAGGUUCUUAACCCAUGAAUUAUGUCAUUCAUAGAAGGAGAUGUAUGAGUAGAGAAAUUAAGAGAGAGGCUGCCGAUGACGGCUUGUCGGAGGCCGGAGAGCUCCAUGGCGGUAACAAAAGUAACGGUGAGGUUUCUGCGGAAGAGGAUACGAGAAGAAGAACAAAGCAUUUGGGAUGCCCAGAAACAGAUAUAGUGUGUCUAGUAGCAAAAGUAAUUUCCACAAGACUUAUAGGGGUUUUUUUUCUUGAGUAGUGUUAGAGACACCAAAAUAUUAUACCAAAUUCAGAUCCCAAAUGACAUGGUGUUUGCCACCUCAUCGUAAUAAUUUCUCAUUUGUAAUUAUCAAUCAUUUUUCAUUUUAUAGUUUCCAACUUUUAUGUAAUUAAUAAUUAAAAUAAAAAAUAAUGUUUUCCUACAAUCCUAAAAAAUCGAUAUUCUUGUAACCAAAAAAAUAAAAAAUCGAUCUUCAACCAAUACCAAUCAUCAUCAUCCUCAUCUCAUGUGCACCAGAUCUAGAACCCAAGUGAAGAAUACUCAUCUAGGAUUUGAAGAAAUAAAAGAUGUUGCAUAUGAAAAUAAAAAAAAUAAAGAAGAUGAUUAUGAAUAUAGCAACCAGAUUAAAUAAAAUUGGCCUGUAAACAAUCAUAUUCAUAAGGGAUAUCAUGGAAAAUUGUGAGUUAUGCGUUGUGAUAAUCUUAAUUAAUUUUGUAACAGCUAAAUUUUCAUUAUCCUAAAGAACAUAUGUUACCUAACUUGUUUUGAAUAUGUAUAUAUAUUUCGUUGAAUAACAAAGAUAUGUAAUAAAAAUUAAGAGAAAAAAAAGGGGUGAAAGAUUCAUAAAAAGUUCGACAAUUUUUUAUCUUUUAUCAUUUCUUAAAACUUUUGCUUUCAUUUAGUCAAACUGAUCGCUCAUAAGUCUUAGAUAGAGAGAUAGAUUGCGCAACUAUAUAUCCUGCUUAAAAAAAGAAGUGGAAUAUGUAUCCUUGACUCGUUAAUCUCGCUACCAUAUGAAUUGAACAUUUUGGUGAAACUAUUUUCAAAAUCCCCACCAAUAUUGACAUUAUUUUACUCACUUCACAAACUUAAUCUAUGGUCGAGCUUAGUUGCCUAUUCUUGAUUACAUCUGGCUAGAUCUAGACUAGAUGUGCAUGAUUUUUUAUCGACGAUAUGCAAUGACGGCCAAAUCAAUGUUGCUGAAGGCCUAACCACAGAAUAUUGUGGAUUUCUUAGUGCUGAAUGCUCACCCCAAAAAAAAAUAUGAAUAUAUAUUUUUAUAUAAUGAAGAAGAAUCGACAUAAUGAACUAUAAUACUUCGAAAUGCAAUUUAACAUCAACAAAGAGUGCAAGAAUUUACAUAAUUUUUUUGAUGUAUGGAAUCUAGUAGGUGGCUAGAUCACUAAGAUUGAUACUACAAGCAUCGAGAGCACAGAUCUAGGAAUGACAAGAAAACAUAUGGAAACGAAACAAGAAAAAGUUUAUAAGAUCUUGGUUGGUCUGAGAAUGCGGUAGAGAGACAUCAUUAUAUAGAGAAACAAAAAAGAAGGCAUUUAAGGUUAGAAAGGUAUGCAUGUAAUUAUAUGUAUCAACGUGUCAAAAUAUUGUGGUAUUAUAUAUAACAACGUGUCAAAAUAUUGUGGUAUUACAUGUGUUAAUGUGUCAAAAUAUUGUGGUAACAUUGCUUUGUAAUUAUUGCCUUUAUACAUAUAGUUUUGUGAAAUUUAUAAUGUCUUUAUUGCCUAUGACAACUAGCUAAAUUAGUUAAUGAAUCUCGUCUCUACUAAUUUGUAUACUUGACUUCAUCUUAAUUAGAUCUUAUGAAAGAUUUUCUUCCAUAAUAAAGGAAUAAACGUCGCAUUCCAAAGUAAUCACCAAGUGCUACACAAACGCAACUAUUACUAGCAGUAGGCAUGCAGAUCAUCUAAAACAAAUAGCAUCAUUAAGAAAAAAAUGUUCAUUAAAAAAAACGUUGAAUUGCCAAUUUAUCAAAAGUACUACACAAAAAAAUUGCAAUGGUACUUAACAACAAUUGCUCCUAAAAGACACACCUAAUGCUUUCCAAAGAUAAAAACAAUAGUCACUUCAAAAAAAAAAAAAAACACCAGUACUUAGGAAAUCGAACAUGUUCCCAAUUUUGUUAUGGAAGUAUCUAAACUAGACUAUAAAAGUAGACAAACAAGUUUUCUAUUAGAGAAAUGAUAUUGAAGUGAAUGAGUUAUUUCAUUACAUUUCUAUAAGCUACUGAUCUGCAAAUGGAGGAUAUGCUAGACUGCAGGGCCGGUCCAGAGUAAUUGGAGGCCUAUGCGAAUUUCAAAAAUGUGACCUUGUUUACUUUGCCUUCGAUAUUUUAGGUAAAAGCCUCUCCAACUACGCCUUGAUUCUUUUGUACCACCAGUUAUUAUAUUGUUCCUUGCCUUUACCCUCGUAACUCAUAAGUGAUAGGAGCCUCAUUACUCCGGAAAUUAUGAGGUCUCAUAUAGAUUAGGAAUUACAUAUAUACAAGGACAUGUAAAUAAGCGUAAACCGAUAUCAUGUCAUAAAUAUAAACAUAUUCAAACGAAGCAUGAAAAGAAAAUAACAAGCAACCCUAGAAUAAGGUUCAUAAAGUAACAAUGCAGUAAAUUUCAUAUCAAAUCACUAGUGUUUAGCAUAAUAAUGUAACAACAAGAACGAGAAGAUGAAUAAGAUUAUUUAUGAUGUUCUCUGUGAGGAUAUAUUCAAAUUAUUCAAUUGUUAACUAGAGUUUGGGUACUAUAUUCCCUCCUAAUUCUAUAUAUAUUUAUCGGGAUUAAUAAUAUGAAUGGUUAGGGGUUUUUCCGUACAUUAUCCUAAAAAAAACUAGAAGAUGGAACAUAAUGGUAAAAAGCAAACAAAGAAGUGUAACAAUAAAAACGGGAAUAUGGAAUAGCAAUGAAAAUUGGUGGAAGGAAAGGAGAAAAUGCAGAAAAAUAAAAAAAGACAAGAGUGGAAAAGUAAAAAUAAAUAACUGAAAAAAAAGAGGAAAGCAAAAAAAAUAAAAUAAUAAAUAAAGUUAAAAACCAAAGGAAAAUAGAAAAUUACGGAAAGCAAGACUCGAACUUGUAGAGAGAGAAUACAACAAGUAAGACUUAAGCUACUGAACUGGAGAUUUAGAUGAAAUCAAAGGACUUUCUGAAUAUUUAUACUUUCUAUGUGGCAUAUAAAUGUUUUAGGCCAUCGAGAUUCAGAGGCCUUAUGCGGCUGCACAACCCACACGGCCCAAAGGACGUCAAUGUCGGUGCAUCAAGAUCAUGGAACUUACACGAGAGUUUAUACACAAUUCGACUUGUAGAGCCUCUAAUGAGGGAUGGAAAGAUGGCAAUAGCAAUCCUGAUAUUUUUGUGUAUUGUAAGUGCUCGAUCAUCAAUCAAGUCUGCUUGAUGCCACUGCAGUAUCACUAUUUUAAUGAACCUUGCAAAUAUCAAUAUACAGUACACCGAAUAUCCCCAUGUAAAAAUAGAACCUCAAAUACUUAUCAAUUGGGAAAACAACAAAUUGGGAAAACUGUAACAUUUGAAGGAGCGUGAAAAUUUACACACCCUAAAUUACAAUCAACACUCACCCACUUUUAAUUGAUGUAAUAUCAAAAGUGCCUUUGUCUUUUAAAUAAUAGUGGUGUACGGUGUACUACUAUUAGAAGAUGUAUGGGCAUUUUUGACAUUACAACAAUUAAAAGUGGGUUAGGGUGUGUGUAUUGUAUGUGAAAACUUCACUUUCCAAUUUGAAUUGGAGAUGAAAGGAUACAACAAAUUAUGAGGACAAAAAAAGAGUUACCAUUUUUGGAUAAUAGGAAAGAUGGUUACUCUAAUGAGGAACAUCAUUCCUCAGAGCUCUUAGCCAUAACAUUGAUAACAAGACCGUAGUAAGUAAAGUAACAUCAGAAUUUGAAUCUCUUUAGGUCUCGUUUGGUUCGCGAAAGAAAAAUAGUUCAUUUGUCUUUUCCACAAGACGGGAAAGAGAAGGGAAAUAAAAAAUUUCGAUAACUUUUCGUUCUGAUGUUUGGUAACAUAAGAAAAAUCAUCAGGAAAGUUGUGACUUAAAAUAAUAAAAUAAUAUAUUGUGGGUAAUAAAUGCAAGGAAAUGAGAUGGGAAAGUGGUUCCUAUAGAUUUUGGAAUGAACAACUUUCUCUCACAUUUUCCCAACCUUCAGGAAAAUAUUUCUUUUCCUUUUCUUUUCAGCAUUCUCAAACACAGGAAAUGAAUAUAUAUUUUUUUUGAUGGUUACUUUUUAUGAACCAAACGAGGUCUCAGUGUGUACAACUACAAACAGAAUGUUCGGUGUGACUGGCCCAAACAAAAAUAUAGAUGUCCAAGCCCAAACCCGGAUCAUCAUUCGCAGUUUUAAAACCCCCAAUACACAGACCUAGAAUUCAUUUCAACACUCUCUUCAGUCGCUUCAGUCUCUCCAUCUGGGUAAGUUUUGCUUUUCAUUUGUCUCAGAUUCUGCAGUAAUUUUGUUUCAUUAUUGAAUGAAUAUACCUUCAAAUUUAAUCUCCAUCUCCAUAUUACAAUGGAACACACAAUGAAACCUGAGUUACCUGCACUAGUUUGUCUCUGUUCAAUUUUGGUAGUGAAUCAAAAGUUGAAACCUUUUUGCCCAAAGUCUCAGUCUUUUCUCUGGGUUUCUGUUUUAGUUAGGUUGAGCCGUUGAGAUUGAGAUGUUGAAGGAGGAGCAGCUUGAUCUGGAUCUUCCUGAAGAAGUGGUAGUCAACAUCCUCUGCCGGUUGCCGGUCAAGUCCUUGAUACGCUUCACUUGUGUCUCAAAACGGUGGCGUUCUCUUAUAAUUUCCGACCACCUAUUUGGCAACUCCCAUUUUCAGCUGGCAUCUCACCUCCGUCGAAAUGUCCUCCUCGCCACCAACCCUACCUUGGUUGAAGAAGGUACACCUGGUACACCUUCUAUGGAACCGUUACCCACUCGAUUUCAAUCUCUAGCAGAUAGGUUCCCAAUCAGGGAACUCACCUGCCCAUCCGAGCUCAAGAGCAACAUUGUAGUAUUGGGCUCCUGCAAUGGCUUGGUAGUUUCAGGCAAGUUCCAAUAUUCCAUUGUACCUCAAGGCCGAUUAUACUGUGAUUUUCUUAUAAGUUUGGUAAUCUGGAACCCGUCUAGUGGAUUCUUUCGAAAAAUACCUAGUCCAAGUUUUCUGAUUGGGAUGGAAAAAUUGGCAUAUGAAAAACAGAUUAGGUUUGUGAAUCGUGUAUAUUAUGGUUUUGGUCAAGUGUCGACCUCCGAUGACUACAAACUUGUGGUGAUACCCAAAAUUGGUGAUUUAAUGGAAGUGCAUGUGUUCUCAGUCAAAGCUAACUCUUGGAAAGUUGUUAAAACUCCUUGUGGCCAUACCCCCUCUGGUCUAAAGAACGGGGGACACAUUCGAAUGGAGCAAUUCAUUGGGUCAGUCAACACGAACCAGUGAUUUUUGAGCCACCUGUCAAUGUUUUUUAUGCUUUUGAUCUGGCAAGUGAGGAGUUUCGGGAAAUCCCGUUGCCAGUUCUUGUCCAUAAUGAAUAUAGUCUGAGACUGAGAAUGACGCUAGUAAGAACUCCUGUUCUUUUAGGAGGAUGUCUCUGUGUGAUGUUUAGGGAUUAUGAUGAGUAUCAUGAAAUUUGGGUGAUGAAAGAGUAUGGGGUGCAUGAAUCUUGGGUUAAACUCUUCAGGUUUAGAGCACAUGAUUCAACAUAUCACUGGAAUCCUAUUUUCAUUGCAGAAGAUGGUACAGUUGUGAUCAGCGUGCCUCGGGCGAUGGAGGUGGUCAGGAUUAAAUGCCGUAAGGAUGAGGAGCCAGUCUGCACGGACCGUUACAGUCUUGAGAAGGUACCCGGGUGGAAGUAUUUACUUGAUGCCAUUUUGUAUGAUGAAACUCUAGUUUCGGUGCCUGAAUGAUUUUGGUGAUUCAUGUGGCUUGAGACCCAACUAACAAGAAAGAACAGAAAUGAAGUGGGAUUUCUACGUGCAUUAUCUUGCUUGCUGGUUUAUGUAAUUUGGAUUCUCCACCGUUUGUGUUUAUGGAGUAUGUUUCUCUGUUUUAGUCCAUUGAGCUAUGCCUUUUGAUGUGUGUAAUUGAAGGGCUAGAAACUAUGAAGUAUGAACUAUUACUGCUAUUGUUGCUGCAUGAAGGAACUUGUUUUAUGAGGAAUUCUUGCUUAUCACCCCAUAUGAGAUAUGCAGCAUAAGGGAUUAUUAUUAUUUUUUUCUGAACAAUGGGCAUUGUUUUUUGAUGUUGUUGCGGCCAAGUUAUAGAUAUGAUUGCACUAAUGAACACUAAACCUUUUCUCGAAUUUUAUUUCCCGAGUAAGUUGAUACAAUAAUAUAUCAGACCAAAAAAAAGUUGAUACAAUAAUCAGUUUGGAUGGCAAGGAGUUGAUCAGGAGUCAAUUUUAUCACCAUCAAUUUUUGCUCUGAAAUGCUGUCCUAGCUGUUUUUGGGUGAUCCAUUGUCAAUGCACGAGUAAAACUCAAGUUGAAGUUCCUCAGUUGAAGUUCCUCUGGUUUUGACUGAAUGGUGACAACUCAAUCUCAUCGAUCAUCAUGGACAUAGCUCGUUAUGAUCUCUAUCACAGUCCAUGCCAGGUUUUGUAGGACAUGAUGUUUGGUAUUAUUACAUGCAUUAUCGAAUAGAAAAGAAUCAACAAACUAUAGGGUGGAGAGUCCUUGAUGUGUAUCAUGUCAAAGGAUUAAACCAAGUUAAAUAAUUACCGUCCUUGAUAGUUUUCAUAAUACCACUACCUCCAAGCACCCCAACCAAACGAUUAUCCUGCAACGACCAACAAUGUUGCUUUUCGAGUUGGGCGCCAAGCUUUUCUGGAAAGCACAAGUACCUACAAUAUGUUUUAAUCAGUAUAACAGUAGUCAUCAUCCAUCUCAUUUUAUGUUUUAAUCAGUAUAACAGUAGUCAUGGAAGUCAUCCAUCUCAUUGUUAAGCACAAUUCCAGUGGAAGGAGAGAGUACUCCACCUCCAAAAGCAUAGUUUUUGAUGGUUGUCAUUCAUCGAUACCGCAUUUCUGCCUGCAUCUACUAGGCAGAAAUGACUAGUUCCGUGAAAAAUUUGAGCUGACUCAACCUGUUAAGUUAUGAGCUAAAUAGCUUAAGAGUAUUGACUUAGAGAUCGAGAAUUUUGGUCGAGAAAGGAAGCUCUAAUUUAGAAUACAAAAUGUCAGGUGGUCAUGCCUCAAUGGCUCUAUCAUAAAUCUGGUGGGGAAGUAUCUUCUGCUGAAUUUACUUAGCAAAGGAUGGGGAAUAACAUAUCAGAUGCAUACUCAUUGGUAUCUACAACAGCAGGAACAACCCACGUUCAUUUGGGUUGCAAACAUGUGUUUCAGAAUGCUCUAUUCCAUUUGGUGGCCGUUUAUUGCGUCUCGUUAGCCACGACCAAAUUGUUGUCUAUGAAAGUAUGGAUACCAAAGUAAUAGAAAGCCGAUGUUUCCUAUAUGACCCUCAUUUAUAAACGGAAGCAAAUAAUGGGUGGUUCUGUUUCCAAAGACUGCUUAGCAAUUAUAAGCACAAGAUGCGGAUGUACCUGCCGGCUGCUGCGAAACCAAUAUCGUAGAUAUCAGAAACACUAACAUGUGAAAGUCAUUUUGUCAAUAUCAGAAACAUCACUGAAAAUAGUAAAGCUUCAUUUUCGACCAUCAUGAACAUCGGUAACUUCAUACACAGAUGAUUUGCAGUUUGCCCCUGUGGUUCUUAGAGUACAUAAUUAUAUAAGUCAAACAACCAGGAAUAUUUACAUUAAAGACUAAUACACAGAAUUCUCCAGUGAAGAACAAACGCUAAAAGGAAAAUGUAAUAAAAGAUACUUUCCUACUACGUUCUACAAGCAAAAGAGGAAUAUAUAAGUUGGUAUAGAUACGAUUUCCUCUAAGGUUCCAGCUUCAAGGAAACAACGCGUGAUUGUCUGUUUUGCUCUGCCACCUUCACAAAUACUACUGAGAGACAAGACGGAGCCCACCAUGGCGUUCGAACUUUUUGCUCUCCUUUCAGGCAAGCGACUGGAUACAAAAUUUAUGUUAGCAGACGCAGAUGGUAUCUAAAUGCAAUUCAUAUUCCAGAGGAGAAAGACAUGUAUGCAGCUCUGGGAACAUAAUUUCAUAAAGGUUUAAACAAAACAGAUGAUAAUGAUAUUAAUCAAAGAGUACGUUAAUGCUUCUAUAGCAUUGUAACUCUUUUAUAAUGUUCGUGUAUGCCAUCAAUAGACCGUAUAAAUGCAUAAGACUAAUGAAGCAUGUAUGCCAUCUUGCAUCACCAGUGAAAGUCACUCGCCACAGAGAAGAUGCACAUCAUGGAUGUGCAUAACAUCAACAAUAUGUAUUAGUGAGCUCCACUUCAUGAGAGUACUACUUCAACAUUUUCAUAGGGUAAAGUAGUGAUUCAUCACAUGUUAUGCUAGGAGAUAAGAAUGAAUCAGAAGUAUUCUUAUUUUCUACAAUAUUACUUCUUCUUUUAUCCCCCUUUGAAUACCACAUCCACAUGGAAAAGAUUGCUCCAGAAAUUUAUAUUAAACAGGUUACCCAAUAGUGCCAAUGAUGGACGCACAGAAUGACAUUUCCAAAGUGUCUUCUGCUGACAAUCAUACAAACACAUAACAAGAAAAAGCAAAUGCAGACCUUUAAUUCGCCUUAGUUCCUUGCACAGCGUGAUAAAGUCCCCCCAUUUCAUGUGGCACUUUCUUAUAAAACGAAGAAUCUGCUCAGUUGUGAACAUUGACAUGCCUUCCAGGUACUCUCCAUUGACACCAUUUUCUUUGAAUAUUUGCCGGUAACUGCCCAGAUUUAUAUCUUCCAACCACAGACCAACAUCCUGUUCACAAGGGAAAGAAAAGUAUGAGAACACAUAUCACUGAAUACUUUUACAUUUUAUUGACAGACAAAUUAGAUAGUUAUUUGCCGCUCCAUAGGGUGCAAGUUAAACUCAAACUUUCAAGUGACCAUUGUUCCCCCGGGAAAUAUUUGGAUGAUCUCUUUUGGACAGACUAAUAGCUAUCUGACAGAAGACAAACAUCUUCUCAACCCCUUUUUUUUCUUGAUAAACAAAAAACCUCCCUUUUCCAAUUUAACAAACCUUAUGCUCAUAUAUUUUACAGGUGUAGUAUUAGCUGGCAUAGUGGGAUCUUUCAGAUGUAUAGAGUCUAGCUAACCUUAAGAGUAAUUCAAAUUGUUGUUUUCAGUUAGUCACAUCAGAUGUGUAAACAGGACCGGCCCUGAGUUUUUGAGGGCUCUAGGUGAAAAACAAAAAUGGGGCUCCCCAACCAAAUAUAUUUACAAUUUUUUUCUAUUUAAUAGUAAUUCAAAAAAUAUAAACAGCAAAUAAAUACUAGUAACAUAACAAUAUAACAAUCUCAAUAUUAAAAAAUAAAAUAAAUUCCAGUGAUGGUGGCCUGUUUCAAACUUGCUUGGACCACCACUACACGAACGCUUGACCUUUUGCUUUCCCGCUAUAAUAGAAUGACUUCUGUUCACUAGUUGUUAUUCUAAAUAGGGAAAAUUUUAAGAAUAGUACAUGAUGAAUGGUCCAAUCCUAAUUUUGGUGUUUCAAGUUUCAAAACAAUCAUUAAGGUACAUGAACUUCUAAUCUCAACCAAAAAUAUGUACAUGCCGUUAUGUCUUCCGUUAUCUUGUGUGCUUUCCGUUAAAAUUUGAGUGACAAAUCCGUCACUCUCUAAUUUAGCAGUAAUAAAUUAUUAAAAUUAAUAAUUACUAAGGAGAGAGAAAUCAAAAAUAUCCAAUUCUCAUUGCUGAACAAGUAAUAAAUUUUUUUGAGGAGCAGCAAAGUCAUUAUUGAGCACAGAAGAUCCAAUUCUCAUUGCUGAACUAGUAACAAAAUAGCAAUUUCUGAAAGACCAAAAUUAAACAGAAAAUGGAAUAGAGUUAUCUACUUGCAGACAACAAAGUCAUUAAGAUUAUGGUCUGAGUUAACAAAAUUAAAAAAAAUAUAUAAAUAGAAAAAGAGUAAAACAAAUAUAAAGAAAAGAGAAAAUGGAGAAAACCCGAAAUCACCUUUUGAAAAUUAAGAAAUUACAUAAAGUUAACAGCGUUACUGACGUCAUGUACUAAAAAUGUGUCGUGAUUCUAAUGUCAUGUACCUUUAUCAUUGUUUUGAAACUUUAAACACCAAAAUUAGGAGUGGACCAUGUACUUUUCUUAAAAUUUUCCCUUCUAAAUAAUAAUAUAGAAUCAUCUACAUAAAUUUCAGAAAAAUAGAAAAAUUGGAUUUUUUUUUCGGAGGUCCGUAAGGUUUUGGGGCUCUAGGCAUAGGCUUCUGGGCCUAUAUCCAGGGCCGGCCUGUGUGUAACUGAUAUCACCCAACAUUAUAUGACAUAGUAAAAUACCAAAGAAAACAAACUUAGCAGUGUUUCAUCACAAUGAUCAUUUCUAACACCCUUUCAUCAACAAGACAUAUCUAGACUCAAAAUGUUUCCUAAUUUCACUCUCAGACCAAUAGUGAUGUGUUUCUGUCAUGAUUUCUACUGCAAUAUAAUUAUUGGUAACUUCUAUUUUAACUAACUAGGUGGAGUUAUCUUUAGCACAAGUUAAAUGACCAACUCUGAUCAUAGAUCUUAUUCUUAUGUAGGAUAACAAAUCCUUGAAACAGCAAAUAAUAUGACCAUAAAAUUCAACUCCACCAGGAGGCCCUCAAUUGAGGACCUUCAGUUGGCAAUUUGCAGUCGAGGAUAUUCAGUGUUUGGAUCAUAAAACAUGCCGUUUGAACAUAGAAGGUAAGUGCUUUGUUUUCCUUAAUGAAAUAACAGAAAGUGCAGGGUAGCACAAUAUUAGUUCUUGGUAAACAGACACCAUGAGGAGACUACUGAACAAGUGAAUGGUGAAAAUAUAACAAUGAAUAGCAUCACCUCACAAGCAACAGAGGGUUCUUAAUAGCACAUUUAAUUCCAUAAGAACUAAGAGUAAGAAUAGUAAAUGUUUGACAUCCCAAAGAGAAGACCGAGUUUAAUCUAACACACUAGCUGAAAGGAAUGAAUUGAUAAGUGGGGAAAUUCCCAAUUUCCUCCCAUGAAAUUGAUGAACAUGGCAGGCUCAAAAGCUUAGUGGGCAAUUAUGCAAUCACCCAACUAACCAAAACCUUUCCAUCUUAAAAACUAUGUUAGCAGAUUAAAAGGAACAAACCCAUCAACAAGAAAACAAAAGAGGAGGAGUCAAACUAAGAAGUACCCAGAACAAGAUCUACUUUAGUAAAUAAGAAAUGAUGAAAAACGAUUGAAGCUUUGGUUACCUCAACAGUCCAAAUAAAGAAAUCAAGAGGCUCCGGUGGCAGCUCUCGGCUAGUCUCCCUUACCAUUACGUCCUUCCAACUAUUCAGACACCAAAAGCAGAUGAUACCCAGAACUUAAUAACCUCUAAAAAUUAAAAAGAGACUUUUUAUGUGAGAGACAGGAGAGUGUGCUGGAACUCGUGGACUCAUCUGCUUUCCUGCCCACUAUUUGUUUAAUGUAACCGGACUGAUGGGUCAUCACUUCUUUUGUUAUUUUUAAGAUAUCACAUCCUUGCAAAAUUCUUAAAAAAAAAAAAACACAGUAAGCUAAAUUUUUAUAUUUCAUCUGACCGUUUAUUUAAACUUUUUUGUUAAAGUCUUUAUUAAAAGCUCUUUAUUUUUUCAAACAAAUAGCCGAUACGGUUAUCCUCAAGUUUUUAUAUUAAUAAUGUUGUUUUCUAACUUGAUUUUUUUUCUCAAAACAAUAGUCUUUCACAUUACUUUGAGAUCCAACUAUCAAUGUGACAUGUAAUUUGUUCUUUUUGACUUUAACUCUUAAAAGUGUAACAAUUAACAAGCCAACAACCAUAGAAAAUAUGUACAUGAGCAGAUGAGCUUUUCCAUCCACAAUUAUUACCUUGGAUUACAAUUUUAGUGAAAUUUGCACUCUCCAUUUUACAGACUAUACUUCUUAUUUCUUUUUUUUAGUGACUUAAAUCUUGUCUCUAGCAACAAGUGUUUUGUAUUUUUGUGAAAACUUUAACUAAAAAAGAAAAAUGAGAGUGUAGAUUGUAAAACCGAAAGUACAAAUUUCACUCGUAUUUUACAAUUAUAUAAUGAUCUCUAUCUUUCUUUAUAUCGAUAAUAACAUUUUAACAUAUGAACUGCUUCAACUAUGUACCGCACUUCAACAACUUUCGACAAAAUGAAAUGCUUCAAUUAUGUCUCACUUCGACAACAUUAAUAAGUAGUUAAGAGUUCCCAAGUCCGAACCACAACUCGAUCACUUAGCCAAUUGCGGUGGUUGAACUCUCGAACUUGAUAGAUCAGUGGCAAAGGUUAGUUGUUACCGGAGAAACCGGUUCUUAUUGCAGUCAAAGGUAGAAAAGGAAUGUUCACUUUGCAGGGUGGCGGAAAGACGUUUAAACCCCUCCUAACAAAUCAAAAAGUGAACUCCAAGAGUGAAACUUCGAACUCAUCAAAAACACAAAGACUGAAACUUCUGCGUAGAAAUCAAAAGGAAGAGAGAAGAAGAAACAACAAGGGUAGGAUGCGCACGGGCGGCUUCACGGUGUGGUUCUGGGCGCUGACGUCAGCAGUUGCUGUAUUUGGGGCGGUAGUUUCGUCGUCGACGACUUGGGUGGCUGACGGGAGGGUGCUGGAGCUGGACGACUCCAAUUUCGAAUCGGCGAUUUCAGCGCUGGACUUGGUCUUGGUCGACUUCCACGCCCCAUGGUGCGGCCACUGCAAGCGUCUCGCUCCUCAGGUCUCUCUUUGCUCUUUUUGCUCUCUUUCGAAAAUAUUUGAUCAAAUGGAUCUAUUGGAUUAUUGUUAUUGUAAUGAGAAAUUGAGAAAUUGUUUAAUUUUGAUGUUUUAUUUGUUGUUGGAUUUAGUUGGAUGCGGCGGCGCCGAUGCUUGCCUCAUUGAAGAACCCAAUAGUGAUAGCUAAGGUGAAUGCUGACAAGUAUAGGUCUCUAGGUGACAAAUACGGAGUCGAGUAUGUUCUGAAACCCAAAACCCAAAACCCAAAUCGAAAUCAAAAUGCCUUUAAUCUAAAACUACUACUAGUACAUUGCAGAUUUUGACUUUUUUUGGUUGAUGUAGUGGAUUUCCGACACUGAAGCUGUUCAUACAUGGUGUGCCCCAAGAGUACAAAGGCCCCAGGAAAGCCGAUUUGCUUGUUCGUUAUUUGAAGAAAUUUGCUGCUCCGGAUGUUACUGUGCUUGAUUCGGACUCGGCUAUUGCUGAUUUUGUUGAGGCAGCAGGCACAUUCUUCCCUGUAUAUAUUGGCUUUGGGUUGGAUGAGUCCAUGAUAUCUAAGUUAGCAUUGAAGUACAAAAAGAAGGCCUGGUUUUCAGUUGCAAAGGAUUUCUCUGAGGAUGCAAUGCUGUUGUAUGAUUUUGACAAGGCUCCUGCUUUGCUAUCCCUCCAUCCAAGUUACAAUGAGCGGCACGUUUUUUAUGGACCCUUUGAAGGUUGGUUUGUUAUUUUUUGUUUGUAAGUGUUAAUUUAUUGCUAGAAACGUAUAGAUAUUAAUCCCUUGAGGCUAACCCAAUAGAAAAUGGUACAGAGUUUAAUACUUAAGUCCCUUCCAAUGCAACCAAUACAGAAUAUCAUAUUACGUUUGCAGUAAAAAAUUUCAAGUGUGUAACAAGAUUACACCUUAUUGUUUGUGGGUUCAGAUAAAUUGGGGUUAUUUGUUAUGUGAUUGCUAUAGUUCACUUGUACUGAGUUCCAGUCUAUCAAUUCAUACUUGUUAUUCAUAUAUGAAUGACCUUCCUGGUCAAUUUUCUACUAGGAGAAACUUAAACAAAACUUUAGAAGUUUUUCACUUUUAAUUUUCAAACAAACUGACUUAAGUUUCUUUUGUCAUGAAUGCGCAAGCUGUUUAUAUCUGAAUUGUAAGAGUAUCAUUGUUUUCUGCAUUGUUGACUGUGCAUCCAUCUGUAGCAACCCACAGUUUAUUUGGUUUGACUUGUUGAGGCUGUUGACUGUUUCUGGCACCGGGAAAAACUGGAGCCAAGUGCUAGUAUAUAAACCAGUCAUGAAUUAAAGCUCAAACAUACUCGUAAAUAUUUUUCCAAGCUCUCUCUCAGAUUCAUUAUAGUGUGUGAAUGUCUUUAAAUUUCUAACAGUUUAGUGUGAACUCCAAAUCCCUUCUGGGUUCCAGAUAGUAUUUUUUAUUCCAACAGUUUUAGAAUCCCUUUUUACUUUCAAGUGCCGUGGCUUCAGCUUUUUGUUUUGAAUAUGCAGAGGAAUUUUUGGAGGAUUUCAUAAAACAAAGUUUGUUACCUUUGGCCAUUCCCAUCAACUAUGACACGUUAAAAUCAUUGGAGGAUGAUGAAAGGAAAAUUGUGUUGACAAUUGUUGAGGAUGAGGAUGAAGAGAAGUCAAAGAACUUGAUUAAGAUUUUGAAAUCUGCGGCAUCUGCUAAUCGAGACCUUGUAUUUGGUUAUGUCGGGAUCAAACAAUGGGAAGAUUUUGCAGAUACAUUUGGAGCGAACAAGAAGACAAAAUUACCAAAAAUGGUUGUUUGGGAUCGAACGGAGGAGUACGUCACAGUAAGUAGUUAUUAAUUAGAAACACCUAUAUUGUUCUUAUAUUUAAAUGCUCAGUUCAUAUCUGAAAGAUUAUACACUUGGUACUUAUCUUGUGAAUAUAUCAUAGCUUUGUGUGAAAGAACAUGGGUGCAGGUUAUUCAGUCCUCAAUGCAUUCUUUCCCCACAUGUAUGGAUAGAAUGUGUAGACAAUGAAAAUUAAGCAAGAAACCAGAAAGUGAACGGAAACAGGAAGAGAUCAUUAGUACUUUUCUUGAGUUCUCAAUGAAAGCUGUUUCUUUUUCAAAAACAGGAAGAAAGAAAAGGCCACAUAUAAUAGUCCAUUACAAAAAUGUGACCGGAAUCUGUAGAAAAAUCCAGAGAUAAACAACAUUAGGUGUACCUUUCAGAGCUUUUGAAUAUCUCACCAAGCUGGUUGUACUUGCUUUUUGCUUAAAACCAAAACCACCAAACACUCUUUUAUGUGCAAGGAUUGCUGAAUCCAAGUGGAUUCUCCAAUUGUAAAAGCUAUUUUUUUUUUUUUGAGUCAGUUCGAGCUAAGUUAGAGUAAGGAGAAAUAUUGUACAGAUGCACCAAACACUCUUUUCCAGUUAUUUAGGUGCAUCCUGUGAUUUCGGUUCACCACUCACAGAAGCACAUAUGCAUGGAAGAUGGCCAGACAGCAAAGGUCUUCUUCCUGGUGUCAAUCAAUUUCUCCCUUCAUUACAAUUUCCAAAGUUCUGCAGUGUUUUUUAUUUUUUAUUUUUUAUCUCUAACAUCUCCUUCCAAUCUCUGUUGGCUGCAAAGAUUGUUUUUUGAUUAAUAAGUAUUACAUUUGUGUGGUUUCAAUCAUAAACAUGAACAUGUAUUCUAAAUUUCAUACGUGUAACCAGUAUCUCCUUUCACAUUUUCAAUUUGUGUUUGGUUACAUGAUAUUUUGAAAGUGUCCUUGAGAUAAAUGAGAAUCCGCUUCAUGAAAUUCUGAUGCUCAUUGUAUAAAUUGAGCAAAAAGCUAUAGAUCCGACCAACAUGUUGUAUGUCAGGUCUUAUACAUUACAUUGCAAUGUCACAUAUGUACCGAUUGCUGCAAAGCCAUAAGUAGCCAUUUUCAUCCUUUUCUAUCUCAUUCUGCUAUGAACCAAGUAUGAUGCAUCUGGCAAUACAUAUUGGUUUCUGUGGUACUUUUUCGAUACACAUCUCAUGAAGGAUAUGUUUGUUGACGAUUUGCUUAGUUGACCUUACACCCCAUGUAUAAACUUGCUUAUCUGGGUAAUUCUCUGUAACAAUCUGAUUCUGACUAGAAACUUGACGAAGCUAUCAUUAGAUACUUGUGCCAAAAUUCUACGUACUGCUUUAGUUGAUAUAAACUCUUCUUCAACUUGCAGACUAGAUUUCUUUGCCUUGACUUUAAACUCUUCUAAUUGCUCCAUGCCAAUUUCUUUCUCUACAUCAAAAUGAGAAGGAAUUCUCAUAUGUCUUUCAUUUGAGUUGAAUCUUAAUUACUGAGCAACACUUGAACUUUAGUUGAUAUAGUGGUGAUUGUUCUAAAAGGCGCUGUUUCAUAGAUUGUGUUCUAGGUCAUGGGUGUAGUUUACUUUCAUUGUCGAGAUAUUAAUGAAACAGAUCAAAGUGAAUUGCAGGACAGUUGAAGGCUAGAGUAACGUGGAAAAAGUCAAACCAAUUUGUCAUAUUCCUGUAUUUUUUUGCUUAGAGAUUACCUUACAACUCUUAGUGAACUGGUGUUCUUGACAGUUCUGUUUUAUAGAAAUCCAUAACAUGUAGUGAUUAUAGACCAUUUUUAAUUCAAACAGGUUAAUGGCUCAGAAAGCAUUGGUGAGGAAGAUCAGGCAUCUCAAGUCUCGCAGUUUCUUGAAGGAUACAAGGAAGGAAGAACAAUUAAAGAAAGAGUUGGUGGCAGUGUGUCGGUUACUUCCUUUAUAUCUUCAUUUCUUGGGCUUGGAACUGUGUAUGUACUAGUUUUUGUGGUAGUGACAAUAAUUCUUGUUAGAAAAGCCACUGAGGAAGAACCUCUCAGGGUUGGUAGGGGAGAUGAAGUUGAUCAUGCUACAAGUUCUACCGCUGAGGCUGAAAGCAGAGAGCAUAAAGCUGGAGAAAAGGAAGAUUAGAGUUGCCCUUUGUACUGUCUACAUCUGAUCUACCAGUGAGUGUGCCUAAAUGGCUAAAUCAGUAUGAAUUGAGACGUCCAUGAUUUGGUAGAGAAUGACAUUUUCCUUUGCACUCUGAUUUGUGCAUUUCAUAGGCACAAUUUUUCUUUGUUUGUUAUUAUCGUCAUGCACAAGAAAGUUAGGCUAUUGAUAUUCUCUAAUCGUUUCGUUGUAAUUCUUAUGUAUCAUGUUUAAAGUUAAUAUUUCACUCUUCGAUUCUGUCUGUAUAAUGGUUGGAAUAUAUGCCCCAUUUCACAGUUGUAAGUUGUAACGACAUCCAACACUUCUCAACAAGUCUUUACCAAUAAAACGCGCACCAGAGACACUGGCCUUUAUGGGGUUGCCGGACGGCUGGAACGGCAUCAACCAAAUGGAGGUAGCGACUUCUGACGGCAUCAACCAAGGGAGGCAGCGACUUCUGGUCAUGACAUGAAGUUCUCAAAUAUGAAAAACAUGACCAAGAGAUUUUGAAUUUGAGCUGAAUUCCAGUUACUAUUAACCUAAAUUGACCUAUAUGCUUGGUUGUUUUUUGUUGUUGUUUUCUCUAUGGAAAGUGAUUCAAGAGCUAGCGAUUUGAAAAUCGAAGUAUUAAUCUUGGAGAUCGACACUUCCAUAUCAAUUUAGAGGGUUUGGAUUUGUUUCCACAAUUUAAAAUCUUGAGCCAACAGUUUCGUGGUACGUACCCGAGUUGUGUGGAUUUGCUUAUUCCCGUGUUUGGUGUUACUGCAAUUGAUCGGCCGAAAGGAACUUGGUUCAAGUAGAGAACAGUACGAAAAAUAUAUAAUAGCUAUGACUAAUCACAUACAGAUAUGCUCAUCUACUAGUUCAAACUUUGUCACAAGUUUUAGAACCAAUCCAAUAUCCGUUCAAAAACAGUAUAUAUAUAUAACAAUGAAAUCAAAACGAAAUUGAAAAAUAACAAUGAAAACAAACAACACUAACUUGAUUAAUCAGAUAGAGGCCUGUCUUGCAGUGACCUAAGACAAAAAGUCGUCCCCACUUGUGCUGCAGUUUCGGACGUCUAUCUAGAGGAUACAACUAUUUGGUUCAAGUUCUUGCACAAGAACUUGACCUUGGCGAAUUUACUUUAUGCUUCAGAAGAAAUAGUUUUGAGGAGGAAGAAGAAGAAUGAUUCGAUGAUCAAAACAACGACAGAAGUCGUCUUUAUAUAAAAGUCAAUUUGAACAGGUAUAACUGUUCGGACAGACACAACUGUUUGGACAGUUAUGUCUUUUGAUAUUUAUCCAAAUUUAAUAAUUAAAUUAAAUAAUAUUAAUUUCCAAAAAAUUAAAUUCGGAUUUAAUCAACAGUGAAGACUCACACAUUUAAUUUAAUUUCCAAAAAAUUAAAUUUAAUCCGAAUUUCCAAUAAUUAAAUUCGGAUUUGUUUAUAUGGGUGUUUCCAUAUAAAUACUCACACAUUUAAUUCUUCUUCAAUGUGGGAUAAAUACCACACAAGUUCCAACAACAAGUCCGCGAAAAUUAUUGUCAUAAACUUCAAAACAGAUAAUCAACAAAUCAAAAGAUGUGAGACCCUUAUUUUCAACCUAAACAAGCAGAGCUAGCUCACAAAAAAAAAAGGGGAGAAAUACAAAACACUACCCGACAACAUUUUAAAUAACAAAAUAGUCCACAACAAAUUUACUUAUACAGUUUAGUCCUACUUCUCCUUUUUUUUUUUUUUUUUAUUAACUGUACUUUACCAAAUAAGUCUUAAGAAUUACUGUCCUAAGAACUAGCCUUCAACAUGCCAUCUUUUCACCUAAUAGACACCUUGUCUUUCUGGUUACUUAUCUUAGCGGAAUCACUGCUGCCUUAGUCUAGUAAAACUUCUUAGUACUUACUAGUAAAGAGAAAGGAAAAAAACAAACAUAAAAACAUAGGAGUAAAAGUACUCAAGCAAACUUAGAUACUGAUAUUUGUGUGACGGAUAAUAGGGCACAAGGUAGAAUUCAUUUAUUCAAACAUGAAUACAAAUAUAAAACCCAGAGCCUCGCUCUCAGGUAAACAGCUAAAGGCUGUUUAGCUACUCAUAAUUACAAGAUAGAUACUUACUUGUAUAUAUAGUACUUCACACUAGAUGAUUACAGCACUCCACACAAUAAACACUCUUAUUAAUCUCACACUAUACUAGACAACUGUAUUCUGGCUAUCUUACGUCUUGAGAAAGGUUGAGAGAACUUCUAUCUCAAGUUUCUGAUUCUUUUUUUCUUUCGAUGCCUUCCUUCAGAAGAUUGAGGCUCCUUAUAUAGGAGGCGGAACUCAAACCGGAAUUAAAUCACACAUAUACAUAGUGGGAGACAGGAGGAAUCCUAUCCUAAUAACUUUAUUUUUGAAAAAGUAAAGUCGAAGACUUUAAUGUGCUGGUAACCACUUUCUUUUUAUCAAAAGCAAAGUAGUUUGUCUUGACGCGUCGGCAGCCGCUCAACUUUCCAGCAUAUUCACAAUGUUGUGAUAUGUUUCUGGAUCUUCAGAAUAUCUUGCUGAGGAGUUGGGACCAUUACUUUCCCAAUCAUAUGCAGUGCCUUCAUUUCCAUCGUCGAGGUCUGAAUCAUAAGGAUAAGAAAUCUUAUACUUUUCUUCAGUCUCAACCUUUUCCAACCACUUUGUGGUAGCUAGCGUGCAAUCCACUUCAUUUCUCAUAAGAGCUGUGAAAAAGUCACAAUUCUCAAGAGGAGGAUGAUUAUAGCAUGUGACAAUUAUUUUUUCUCCACUUGCUAGGAGGCUUGAAUCAUAGUCUCUCAGAACUAGGUUUUUGAUAAUUGCUAUGGUCAUAGCUUUCAUCCAAGGAAUGCUUUGAUUUGGUCUUCCAUUGCCACUAGUAAUAGCUGGCUUUUGAACUGGACUUUGGAUUAUCCUGACAUGAUGAUAUGGAGAGAUAUAAUUCAUCUGUCCAUUUACCACGGUCCAUUCUGGUGGUGUAGAAAUGAAUUUUAUCCUUAGGAUACAUCCAUCAGGUCUGAUAUUUUUGACAGCUUCGGCUAUAAUUUCUGGAAAACCUUUAAGAUCUUCAUUGGUUUUUGUCCACAAAUUACGAACAAAGCCAUUUUCUAUAAGCCACAGCUUGUGCUUCUGAGGAUGCUCUGCUUGAACAUCAACCAGAUAUCUCCCAUAAUAUGGGCCAGGGGUUAUUGAUAAUGUUCCUAGAAGAACAUCUCUUCCUUUACCUAAGAGGUUAUGGAAAUUAUACCAUUCAGAUUCUUUUAAAGCUAGCAUAGGAAUUUUAGCGCUUUCAGGACUCUCGAGGUAUACAACUUUGGAUGGUUCUGUUAGAACUCCUUUGUCCUUUGUAUGGACUCCAUACAUUUCUUCUGUUAAAGCCUUGAGGGUUUGAAGUAAAUGAGCUUCAUUUUCCUCAUAAAAAGAAUACAGAAUAUUAUCAAUAAUAAUCUUCUGUUUAAAGGCCAAUAGCCUAUCUGUUCUGAAAACAGGCUUCUGAAAAAUCUUCAGAGGUUGAUUAUGGACGACUUUCUUUCCUGUGACUAAUGGAAGUUUAUCUGCCCUGAGAGGGCCUUUCCUGCUUUUUGGCAAAGCAGCAGCCAUCAACGGACUUGAUAUGCCUUUACCGUCUGCCGUUUGAGACGGGCUAGUCAGUCUUUUCCCCUGAGACUGAUCAGUUAAGGCUGAUCCUUUCGGACACAGCAAGAACUCAUUUACGAGUUCAUCUUCAUUAGUACCGUCUGAAUGACUGGAGCGACCAUCUUCUUCAAAGUCUGGUUUGGGCUUGAUUCUCAGAGAUUGACUAGCUUCAGCAGUUCCAUAAGAGACCAUAUAUUGAUAACCAGGUCCGUCAUGAAGAGGUCUUACAGUUUUAUCACCGCCUUUGAAUCUUUCCCAAAGCUUCUUUUCCUCUGAUUCUGGUUUUCGGCUUCUGGGAUUGUGACCUUCCCUAUCGAACAUCGCCAUCUCUCUUGUAAGCGCGUUAGGCAAAAAGUUCUUGUUUCCUGCAACCAUUUCAACAUCAUAUUCAUAUUGAGUUAGAAACAUUUGCCAUCUCAACACUCUUCCUCUAUCUGCAGCAUCAGUCAAUUUGUAGUUUUUGAAGUUUUUUACUCUUUUGUUGUCAGUUCUAACUACAAAUUUGUUUCCUAGGUAUGCCUCAGCGCCCUUGAUACUCUUAAUUAAGGCAAAGACUUCCUUGUCUCCGGUGGAAUAAUUUAACUCGGCAACGUUAAACUUUCCAGAAAGAAAUUUACAAAUUUUUUCAUGAUUUGUAUCUGGAGCAACAGCUAAAACAACUCCUGCCCAGUAAUAAUCAUUUGCAUCAGUCUGCAAAAUGAUCAGAUCUCCUUCUUCUGGUAAUAGUAAAGGAGGAAGAUUUUUUGUUAAUUCUUUAAUCUUUCUGACAGUAUUACUGUCAUCAGCUGUGAAAGACCAUUUUUUCUUGGAACUUGUUUUUGGAGAGAGGAGAGCAGUUAGACUACUAACUUGGGGAAUAAAAUCUCUCGCAAAAUUAACAACUCCCAAAAAUCUCUGUAGAGACUUUGCAUCUGGGAUAUUGUCUGGAAAUUGGCUAAUCUUCUUAACGAUAUGAUCUUGGAGACGAAUUUCUCCAUCUUUAACAUGAAUGCCAAGGAAAUCAAUUUCACCUUUAACAAGAUGAAUCUUUUUUUGUCCAAGGAUGAUUCCCUUUUGGACAAUAAGCUUACACACUUGCUCAAGAUGCUUUAAUUGUUCAUCCUUAGUUUUUGAGAAGACAAGAAUGUCAUCUAUGUAAACUAUGCAAAAGUCUGCAAAAGGCUUGAAGAUAUUAUCCAUUUUCCUCUGGAAAAUAGACGGAGCUUGCUUUAAUCCGAAUGGCAUAACUAACCAUUCGUAAUGCCCUUGAGGAGUUCCAAAAGCCGUCAAAGCAAUGGAAUCAGGAUGCAUUUUGACUUGCCAAAAGCCUGAUUUUGCGUCAAACUUAGAGAAAAUCUUUGCGCCUCUAAGUCUGUUGAAGAGAACUCUUACCUGAGCAAUUUGAUAACCGUCUUUAACGGUCUUUUUAUUUACAUCUCUGUAAUCAAUCACCAUCCUAGCUUUUCCUCUUAGUUGUUCAGCAUGAUUUCUUACCAAAAAGGCCGGGGCAUGAUGAGGGCUAUUUGAAGGCCUAAUUAACUUCUUUUCAAGAAGCUCUUGGAUCUGACUUUCUAUUUCCUUCCUAUCUUCUUCUCGGUAGUGAGGAAUGGCUUUGACAUGGCAAAUAAUAUUUGCAUCAUGCAUUUUGAGCUGACAAUAUACUGGGUCUCUUUCCCAGUACAACUGAGGAUUUUCACUGAUUACUGGUUUCAGCAAGUUUUCUAUUUCUGUGAGAGUUGGUAUUUUCUUUUAUUCUGCUUUCCUAGCAUAUACCUUUAAAUUAUGUUCUCUGAUGAAUUCUUCUUUUCCAUCAGAACUCUCAUUGUCAGAAAUUUGAUAUUCAGAAUUUGUCUCUGAUUCAGAGUCUUCUGAACUUGUUGAUUCAUUUAUCAGUAUCUCACUGUGUCCCUUAAGUUUUUCUUGCAAAACUUGUAAAACUGGUUUCAGAAUUGGCUUAUAAUCACCACUCUUCGCAAGCGUUUUCUGGUAAGGAUUGGUGAAGCCUUUGGUUGUAACGCGUACUGCGUCGGUCAAUCGGGAUUCCCAAUGAAAUCUGUUAUUUUUCUCAAACCCAAUCAUUUCUGAGGUUUGGAUUACUGUUUGUUGAAGAAGGAAGUCAUUUCCUAAUAACAAAUCAGCAGUCUGGCCUUCGCAUUGCCAGAGGUUUUUGAUGAUAAAAGUUCCUCCUCCCAAAGAAACUUUUACAUUUCGGGCUAAGGUAUCCAUAAUGAUUUUGGUUUCUUCCAUGGCAACUCCAGUAACUGUUUUUGGAGAUUUUUCCCAAAAUUCUUCAGGGAUUGCAUAUCUUUUGGCAAGAGAGUACCCUGAACCAGUAUCUACAAAUGCGUGUAGAUGAUAUUUCCUAUAUGUGGGAAACUUCAGUCCUAUAUAUAGUAACAUAAUUACUAUAGAUGCUUGUCUGGACUGGCAUUACUUGUUCUUGCUUUUCUGCAACAAGUAAAUCUGUGAAAGGAUUAACUUGUCUUUCAACAGUUAUGGAAUCAAGAGGAUUAAUACCAAUUAUCGGAUUGGCAUUUGUCUCAGCAAUCUUGGGAUCAAGAGACUCAAGAGACUCUUUUAUCUCUUUGUUUUGACUUAAUGAAGUUACAAACUUCAUCGUUUUCAUAUCCUCUUUAAUAUUCCUUUCAUGCUCUUUUUUACGGAAUACAUUAUAUUCCUCUUCUACCAGAGUAUGAGCAUCUCUAUCUUUAGUUUUUCUUCUGAGUUCUGCGAUAAAGCAUUCUUGAUGAUAAGUUUCUCCUGUACUUUCGCAGUACAUGGGGAUAGUACUAUCAUCAUCGCAUUUGCAAUAAUCGCAAACAAAUCUUCCAGGAUUAGGAUGAAAGGUGCUGAUAAUAUCAGUAUUUUCUUCCUUCCAAUUCUGUAUUUGUAAUACAAAUAUAGGACGAUGUCCUAAUUCUUUUUCAUCUUCUUCAGAACUUUCUGACGUACUUUCUGUUUCACUAUCUGAUGGGUACUCAAGAGAAUAUACUGAUUCAUUCUCUUCAUCAGAAUAAAUAAUUUCAAAGCCUUUUAGAUUAGCAUACUCUAUGGCUUCCUCAUAUUCGGCCAGUAAGACUUUUGAAGUUCUUUUAUCCUUUUUUGGACAUUCAUUUGCAUAAUGUCCCUCUGCUUUGCAGAACCAACAUCUGCAUUUCUUUGUUUCUCUGGAACGAGAAUCUGGUUUCUUUUCCUUCUAAAAAAUUUCUUUUUUGGAGAAGUUUGAGAAGAUUGUCUUUUCUGAUAUCCAGAACUCUUUCUAAACUUAUACUUCUUUUUAGAAGCGAAAUUGCUUUUUUGCUUGCUACCAGAGAAUUUUCUUCUGUAUUUCUUUUCCAUAACAUGACAUCCCCAUUGUGUCGGGGUAUCCAAAAUCUUUGGACACAUGUUUUCAACUCCUCUGAGUUGUUUCGUGGCAGUCUUGGAUUUUCUAUUCUCCGUACAUUGUUUUCUUAGGAGAUCCCUAACUCUUUCUGCUAUUCAAUCCAACAGUAAAAUACUGAAGGGGGUUUUCUUCCAAUGAUUGUGCUACUGCAUCGUUCCAGGGUUCUGGUAAUUUUCUGUAAUAUGUUCUGAUGAGAUCAUUAUUUUCAAUGUCUCCAAUGGUGCAGUAGUAGGUUUGAAACUCAUUGGUAUAUUCUUCGAAAUACCUCAUGUUACAAAUACUCAAUUUUUGAAUAUUUGCUUUAGCUCUUUCUUUAGAUUGUUCACUGUGUCCAGUGAUAUCUAAGCAAAAUUGUGCGUAGAUAGGGACUGCAAAAUCUAAAGGACUAUUAGUCUGAGCCACUUUUGCUGCCCAAUCAGUCCAUUGAGAGCUUCUUUUGAAGGACUGGUACCAUUUCUGGACUAUUCCAGUUAAGGUAGACUCAUAGUAGGCAUGAGCUUCCUCGUAGGCAUAUUUGGAUAGCACUAGGGCCUGAGUUAGCUUUAAACUAGCCACCCAGUUGUCUAUUGUUUUUCUUUUAUCUCCUACCUGGUCCAAAUCCAGAUAAACUCCUCUUUCAGACACUGAUUGUCCCCAUUUGGGUUCUGUAGGGAUAUAUUUAUGAGAACUUCGUUCUCCAUAUCUUCCUGUAGGAGCUUGUCCUUUUGGGAGCUUGAUAUUCUUUUCUCGAAUAAUCUUUGUAGGAUUGUUGGUGAUGUUCUGUAUUACAGUAUGACCACCUCCUGGGGGUGUCUGUCUUUCACCAUCUGUAUCCCAUUGAUGCUCCUGAUGGUUCUGGUUCAUCUUUUGCCGCUUGAUAAGGAAGAAUCUUCCUCUUUUUCUUUCCAAGUUGAACUUGAGAAAUUUCUUUGAUAAUAUUCUCUAGUUCUUCUGGAGAAUCACAAUUCUCAGCUUGUACAUAUAACUCUUUUAAUUCCAUCACUUGGAACAUUCUCAUAGGUCUUUUAGUAUCCUCUUCCUCCAGAGAUUCUUCAUUAUAAACCAUUUUAGUUCCCGAGGUACUAGCUUCUUCAUAAUUUGCAAAAGAGUGCCUAUGAAAUUGUAAACUGAUUUUUCCUCCCAUGUCUUCAUAGACUGAAGCAUUGGAACUUUCAAGCUGUCUGACCGGAGGGGUCAGAUUCCAUUCUUUUGGGAAUGUUACUUCAUGNNNNNNNNNNNNNNNNNNNNCGUCUUGUAAGACACAUAGAACAGAGCAGUCAAUACCAUCUCUGGCUAAGAGCUUUAUUCCUACUUGAACUGCACCAAUAUGCAUAUAGGUAANAUUUUUUUCUGAAAUGCUUCACUUACUUCUUUUGGAGUUAUAAGCCUGAUAUCUGUUUCUCCUCCUGUGGCAGGAACAGUUAAUUCAAGAAUCUUGAAUCUGUGUGAAUCUAUAAGGAAAGAUCCUUUCUUAUAGAUCUCAUUAAAUCUAAAUCUAGGAGCAAAUGCUUCUCGCACACUAGACUCGAUCUCAUUAUACUCAAAUUCUUGAGCAUUUAUCAGCUGAACUGGAGCUGUGUUUCUUUUGCUGAGAAUUCUACUUAGCAUCUUCAUAUCUCUUUUGGUAGAAGGUUUAGGAGAUUUCCAUUCAAGUAACUUUGGUUCACUAUUAAACCUUAGUCUACUUUCUCCCGUUGAUAGAGGUGGAGAAUUUAUGAUGAUUUUACUAGCUACACUUUGGGCUAGCGAUUCUUCAUUAAUUCUUUCAUAAUUUUCUCCUUCCUUCAUUUUCUCUAAAGUCUUUUGUAGACUAGAGAUUCUAUUAUGUAACUCUCGAAAUUGAUUUUCGAGGUCAAUACCUAUCUCAUGAAGAUAAGCAAUAUUAUAAUUCUGCUGAAGGAUUAUUGCUUCUACAUUCUCGGCAAGUUUUUCUGUGGGUUGAUGAAAGCCAAUAGCUUUAACACCUUCUUGUUUUACUUUUAGAUCUACUCUCUGAUUCAUCCUAUUCUGGCAAUGAGAGUUUCUAAAAGUGAUCUCAAGUUUUCUUGAGUUUUCUUUAGUUCUACUGCUUGUUGAUGAAUGUACUGUUUGCAAGAUUUUCAGUACGAACUAAUUUCUUUUCAAUAUCUGUUAGAUAUUGUUUUUCCUUGAGGUAAUCUAGCUUGAUUUCAAGCUUGCUAAUUUUUGAGUUUAUUUCCUCAAGUUGAUUAAUCCGUAGAUUAAAUCUCUCGAGUUGUUCUAUAACCUUUUCAGAGGUCUUAUUCUUAGAUAAAUGAUCUAAGAACUCGAUUAAGCUUGGUCUUGAGGGAUCAAGCUCUUCUACUCCGAUCUCUUGUUGGAGAUGAAUAUGCUCGUCGUAUAGAGUAUUUAGUACUCUACAAAUAUAUUCAACGGAGUAUUGAUUUAAUUGUAUGUGCCUUGAAUGAAAGCACACUUUNNNNNNNNNNNNNNNNNNNNUUCUUGAAGGACUUCAAUUUCCUCUCUUGACUCGUAUAUCCUUUGUUGCAACUGGAAAAUAAUAUCCCUGUAAUUUUUGGUAUUUCUUGGAAGCUUAUCUCUUCUUUCUCUUAAUUUUCUUAAAUUUCUUCUUUCUUCUUGCAACUCUUUAUAUGAAAGCUUAGCUUCUGAUAAUAAAUCAAGUCUAGUAGCAAUAGAUUCUCCUAUUGAUAAUGAAAAAUUAACUGUCUACCUUUGAGUUUAGAGGAUAGAUCUAAAUACUUGUAUUAUGUUUAAACAAAUUCAUAGGCCCACCAUGCUCCGUCAAAAUUACUUACUGUAGUAGGAACUUAAUAGUAAAAAGGCACAAAAGACAAAAAGGACUAAAAUGCUAAAUUUUGUCCUUAAACGUUAAAGAACCAAAUUAAAGGACCUUUUUGUAAGAUGAAAUUAUAUUAGGUAUUAAAUUGUAGUUUCCCUAAAAAAAAAAAGAAAAAAAAAAAAGAAAAGGAAAAUCUGAAGCUCGUUAAUUAGCUGAUAACAACACCGAAGAGCUUAACUGUUUGAUUGUCACCAUUAACUUGUGGGAUUUCAUCAAUAACUUCUGCAGUUUGUGUACUUAUGUCAUCUUUCUCCUCUCCAAGUUUCUUGGCAUGCAAGAAGGUAAGGGCGGGGGAAACAGAUUGGCUAGCAUUUUCAACAAUAUUGACAUUAUCAGAAUCUUCAGCCCGGUCGAUUUUGAUCAUGUAGAAUGACUUGGGGUCCUUAUUAUCUCCUUCCUCAAUAUGGCACUCAUAGAAUCUGAUAGUGUCAUUGGCUUUCAAUUUGCUGUUCUUUACAAAUCGAUUCCAGCCUCGGGUGAACACAAAGCUUUGGCUGCUCUUCCAAUAACAGUACCUAAACUUCCAUGGCCCCCUCAUGUUUUCAUCAUAAAAUGAGAGCUGUACAUCAGGCGCAGGGUUGUUUUCAUCCAACCCUCCCUGCAUGGAUUCAUCAAUACGAGGGAAAAAUUUAGUUGCGUAAUUUUUCGGUAUGACUAGUCUGUUCAGCUUACCAACAUCACUUGGCGUCAAUUCUUUUUGGAAGAGUUGUUUGGGAAAGAUAUCUCUCAUGCUUUGUUGCACCCUAGCUGAGUUCGACCCGGACAUUACUUCUGCUGCCUGGCAAGCCACGAGAAAUUCAACAAACCUAGCCUGGUAUGACCCGUCCUUAAUCAUGUUGAGCACGGCUUCUUGGCUAUAGAGAUUCUGAAAGUGUCGUUCUUGAAUAAUUGUAUUUGUCCACGCAAAGUUCCUUUGGCACUCUCCGUUAUGAAGCUUGAUUGCAGCACUAUCAUAAGCCAUGGCUGCCUUAAUAUCGGAAUCAAAUGUUCCAAGCCAAACCCUAUUGUGAUUGGCAUAGAUCUGAGCUCCCCAACGGCCAUUUGGCUGCUGCACAACUCCUUUAUAAUUGGUAUUCGCAGACAGCUGAUUGCUGCUCCCAUGACUCAAGCGCUUACGCUCUUGAACCAAGAAACCUGCAGUGAUGCUUGAAACAGAAGCUUCUGCUUGAUAUGUCCUCCUCUUCGAUGACCUUGUUGUUGCACUUGUUCCUGCGUUUGAGACCGUGCUUGAUAAAUCCUCUUGCAUUUCUAAAGCCAUUCUACAUGAGAAAUCAUGAGUACGUAUUAAAUAUAUUGUCCAUAAAUAAGCUCAAUCAAGGCAUUCAAUUACAAUCUCUGUCUUCUAUUCCACACAUAUAGUUACUUUCGAUUGAUAUAUAUGAUAUUUGUUUGUAUUCUUUGACAAGUAAACCAUGUAUUGCAAAUGUCUAGAAAAACCUCUUUUGCUAUUCCGAGAGGCAGUGACUCAUGCUAUUUGAUAACUAAACAUCAAACGUUCUUUCAAAUGUACUUAAACUUUGAUUUUCUAUACUUGGAGUCCAUCAAGCAAAACUACUUUAGCAAUUGAAAUAUUUAUUACAUCAAAUAUGUAAUACAUAACUAUAAACAUGCAAGUGUAUCAGAUAGGAAUUCGAUCCAUCUUUAAUCUAAGCUUGUAAUGCAUAAAUUCAUAUUAUAGAUUUGACAAUUAAAUCAACUAUGCCACGCCUCUACCUCAAGUUAAAUAGGGACACAUUGAUAGAUUGAAAAAACAAAAUUCUAGAGAUUGAAUAUAUCUAUAUAAUGAAACAACAUGCAGUGAGUUGAAGUUCCGUCAAAACAAGCCCAGAUAUAUAAGCGAUUUAGUUAUCUGUGAACUUUUCAGAUCUACAAAAUCAAGUACUUCAUCAUCAACUAGUACGCCACUCAACAAGCCAAGAACACAUAUUCAAACAGCAAUUACAAAUGGAAUAAACUAAUUUAGAGCGACCUAAAAGAGAUUUAGAUUGUUGAAACGGUUACCUUGCAACUCUGAGAGAGGUUGGGAAAUCAAAAUCCGAAAUAAAGACCAGCAAUAAUAGAGAAAAUAUAUUACGUACUAUAGAGCAACAUAUAUAGAUGGGGAUUGUUACCUUACCAAUAAUCUGAUCGAUCUGAUGCAGAUAAAAACUGAUAUGCUGCUCCCAAACCAAAAACCAAACAAAUAACAAGUAAUAUAUUUUGUAUCUAGCUAUGAAAAAUAGCCAAAUACUCUCCUUGAAGCAAAAUCUGGAAAGUAAUUCAUUGACAGACCUGUAUAAGGUAAUAUUUGUACCGAUGCAAAUCUCAAUAUCGAUAUCAGCCAAGUAAAAGCAAGAACGAGUUGUUUCCAUAUCAAGGCAAGCUGUGAUUCCUCGAUAAGUUAGGGUUUAUGUUUCCUCUGAUGAUGAUCAGCGUUCAAGGGUUUCUUACAGUAAAAUGCACUUUGUACGUAGUCGUGAUUGGCGGAAAAUAAGGGUUAUGUCAAUGGGAAUCAAAUCUGAAAAAAUAAUCAUCAUAAAUAUUUGAAAGAACUUUCCAGUUUUAAUUUUCCAUGGAUUUCUACAAAUAAGCAUCAUGCCUAACCACGUACGUGAACACUGCUAUAUAAACAGCCAUAUUAAAUCCUAAGUCAUUAGACCCUGGAAAGUAUGCAAGCAUUGGAAGAAGAAGAAUGAAUUGAAGGAAGAAGAAGAAGAAGAAGGAGUCGAUCCAUAUUCCAUAAUAGCCUUCAAGUUAAUUAAGGGUUAAUUUGCCGUUGAUUGAUAGGCUAGAUCUUAUCAGUUAAAAGUUCGAAGAGCAAAUCAACCUCUGAGGAAAUCCCAGUAUCCAUGCCACUUUGAAGUUUGAACUGGUAGUCCGUAAACUGAAAUCGAAGGGUAAAGACCACAUCAUAUAUAUCAGACAUGCUAAUCAUACUGCUUAAACUGAUAAAGGAUUGUUAAAAAAGUCCAUUGAUAUAAAAAACCUGGGGAUAUAUCUAUAUAUAUAUAUAUAUAUAUAGNNNNNNNNNNNNNNNNNNNNCCUUUUACAAAUCGUCAACACGAUAAGGAGUUCAAACUACAACAGUUCAAUUCAAGAUCAAGUGCUCACCACCCUUGGAUCAAAUCAACGGCGAAGAUCGAAUAAGAGGACAUUCUUGAUAAAAGAAUACCCACAGAGAUUAUAAUCCACAAAUUCAAUCAAUACAAAUAAAUUAUUUUGUACACGUGUUUUUCUGUUAUUCGUUACAGGAAUUUUUCGUGUUUACAAGUUGAUAGUCGAAAACCUAAACUAGCUGGUACACAUGAUCGAGCUCCUCCGUUUGCUGUAUGGUAACUGAAGGUGAUCGAUUUUUCAUUUUUUAUGCUGAAGAAGCUUCAGAUUUUGAUUAACAUGAUGCUUAGAUAUGUGGAAUACUCCGCAUUAUUAGAUACCAGCACAUUUUUAAAUCUUCAACCAAAUGUCAGACAGUAUGAUAAUAUCUAGUUGGACUGAAUCACCAGAGGUUCAACAAUUUUGUGGACUAGCUACUUGGCUUCGGGGAAAUAUAAUCUUUGCAUCAGUUUCUUUUUGUCACAGUCACACCCAACCCACCUGCUUGUUUCUACAAGCCGAAGUACCAUUAUCAGAAUAGUAAUUAUUAAUUAAUCUUCCGCUUGUGUUUUAAAUAGAUCUUUAUCAACGAAAAAUUCUUCUACACAUUAAGUACAAGGAACCUAACAACUUAUAUGCAAUAUUUUAAUUCGGUUAUCCAUGUCGUAUUAUCAUGCAUAUAUACUAAUACUGUUAAAAAAAUUGAAACCUAAAAAAAUAGUUCUAAGUGUUUUCAACACAUGAGUUAAAAAACCGAGGUAAAAAAAUGUAAUUUUAUUAUAGACGUUUAAUUUCAUCGGAUCAAAAAUAAAAAUGAAAGAAAUGAAUUUAGAGUCUCUAGUCUUAAAUUUCCUCGAUCGGUUCCUCUAUAUUGUUUAUCUUUCCCCAAACAAAUAUUCACAUUCAAAUAUAUCUACUUCCCAAGUUUAUGCUAGACUUGGAUUGGUUUCAUCAAAUGGCCGGACUCAUGUUAGUCAUGUAGUAGAAUGAGAGAAAUUCCAACACUCCAUUUUACCACUGGCAAUUAAUUGUUGAAAAUGCAAGAGUGAAAAGUAUAUAUGACAUAAUGAAGUGUGCCAAAAUCAUCACUCAAAUUCUAUGAAGCCGUAUUUUUGGACUACCUAAACUCCUAAAGGAUGAUUUAAUUUGUAAUGGUGGACGGAAUUUGCUGUGGAAUAACAAGAUAGCAAGAGGAUCUAAAUUCCGCCUUAUAUAGAGUUCAAUCUGGCAUUAUACAUGCUAAAAUGGUAUAUAUGCGAGUAAUGAAAUAACUUCCAUCCAAAUUCCCACCCACAUAAAAUGGCUAUGAUAUGUGCUGAAGCAAGCAAUGAACAAACUUACAAAACUACCUACCAAAAGAUAGCAAGCUGGGAGAACUAAUUGGUCUCAGAAAUGAACAAACUUGAGCAAUGCAUUGGCCUCAGAAAGGUAGAGUAUUUUAUAGCCCAAGCUCACCUAUCCUUGGAGCAAUGUAUACACCAUUAACCAGCAAGAGCUGCAAUAUUCUCAAUGUAAAAGAAGAAUCAAGAGAUAGAUUAUUUCUACAGGAUGAACAAAUAAACCCCAAUUGUAUACAGUAAAAGAGUAGUUGAUCCAUAUAUGCAACACAGAUAAUCACCCCAAGUAAACCUCCUCAAAGAAAUGAAACUCAUUAUCCCAAUACAUGAUGAUUGUAACCAUUCCCUCCCAAAAAAUUAAGCCCGACUCUCCAAGUCUCCAGCAUCACUAAAAUGUAACCCAAAAAGAACCCUCACAACUCCCAUUCUAGAAUUGACCCCUCCAAUGUGGACACAUGCUCCCAAAGUCAACAGCUCAAACUAGGACAGUGACAAACACUGACUAGCCCUGAUCACACUCAACCUCAAAUCCCACUUCAAAUCCUGAGACCACCAAAGCCAGUCACACCCACUAGUCCCCAUUCUAAACCCCUAAACCUGAAAAACGACGUGUCGGAUUUCUCCACAUGAACAUUGUCGGUGAAGACAAAAAAAAAAAAAGGAGGUAAAGCUCUCAUGAAAAAGCCACCCAACCUCCUUCUUCUAAAUAAAUAAAUGCCGCCAAAACACCCCAUUUAAUUUUCUGCGUUUCGUUUUGUUUUGUGUGCGUUUCACUCCCUCUCUCGUCAAUUCUGGGCAUUUAAUGCCCAGAAUUCCUUUAAUGACCGCACCACCCCCCUCUUUAACUCCCCNNNNN